rnacentral:lncRNA from 1 species
AAAUCUGCCCAGUUUGGGCAGUUUAAUAAAGUGAAAGUUAAGGGGCUUAUUUGCAAUUAUGCAUUAUAUGGGUUAUAUUGAGGGCUAAGAGGGCUUGUUCCUCUCAUUCUCUCCUUCACACUCUCUCUCUUCUCUCUCUUUCUCUCUCUAGAAGACAAGAAGGAGAAGAAAAGACAAGGAAAAGAAAGAAAAGAAAAAGGAAAAGAGGAAGAAGAAAAGGAGAAAGAAGGUGAAAAAGGAGCUAAGGAGUGAAGCUAUCUCCUCUUCUUCCCCUUCGGAGCAACAUAGGAGCAAGCUUAGAGGUAAGCUUGAACCUUAUUUAUGGUAAAACCCUAGAAUGUGAACUAGUUGACCUAAAAAUGGUUUUAGUUGAACCUAAUAAGUGUUUCAAGCUUUAUUUUGCUUGUUAAUAAGAUCAACACUAUGGGUUGGGUGUGGGUGGUGAAGCUUGAAGGAGAGCUUCAACCCCUCUCAUAGUAGAAUCCAAACUAGGGUUUGGAUUGAGCCAAAGAUGGUUUUUGUGGAGUCUUUAGAGUAGAAUGAAGCUUCUUUUGCUUCCCAAUGAGAUCAAACCCUAGGUUUGAUGUAUGCUAUAGAGCUAGGGCACCCAAAUUGGGGCUUUUGCUUGCGAGGGUUCUAAAAUAUAAUUGACCCUCUAGAAACCUAAUUGGGGAUAUUUCCGACGCGUUGGUGCGCUCGGAUUAACGUUACGAAAGUUAUGGCCAAAUAAGCCUAAUUUGGCUUCGUUAACUCGCAGGUAGCGAACCGGGUGUCUAAAAAUCCCAAGAAAAUUGUCGGAACACCUAAGUAAGCCUACAAGGUGGGUAGUGCUAUCCAAGCUCGUUGAACUUCCUUCUAUGCCUAAUGUGUGAUUCAAUUGAGCAUAUGUUAUAUACAUCGUUGCAUGCAUCGUAGGGUAUAUGUAAUGAGAAUAAUGUAAUGUUGCAUGUUGUGAAUACAACUUGCCUAAUGAGAUGGUUGAGAACCCCUGUGAAUGUUUAACCCUAUAUGUAUGCAUGAGAUAAAAUGUGAGCACCCAACUGAGACAAAAGAACAAAGUGACACAAUGAGCAUAGAUCGAGUGGCAUUCGAAAGUAUAGCGAUGGUGCCAUUUGAGGCACUAUAUGGAUGUAAGUGUCGUUUUCCUAGUCAUUGGAGCGACGUGGGGGAGAGAACGGCUCUUGGCCCUGACGUAGUGCGAGAGGCGGAGGAGAAAGUCCGCCUUGCCCGUCAACGGUUAGCGACGGCGCAAUCUCGGCAAAAGAGUUAUGCCGACAAGCGAAGAAAAGAUUUAGAGUUCGCGGUUGGAGACCGCGUAUUUUUGAGAGUAUCGCCGAUACGAGGGGUAAAGCGGUUUUGGGUCCGCGGGAAGCUAAGUCCCUGUUAUGUCGGACCAUUUGAGAUAUUGGAGCGUGUGGGUGCGGUAGCGUACAAGCUCGCACUACCACCGAGACUCGCGGGAGUUCACAAUGUUUUCCAUGUGUCAAAUCUCCGAAAGUAUAUUCGCAACUCGACACAUGUAUUGGAGUACGAGCCCGUGGAGUUACGUGAGGAUAUGUCUUACGAGGAGUACCCGGUGUGCAUCCUCGAUUGAGAAGAAAGAAAACUGCGGAGUCGCAGAAUUCCAUAUGUGAAGGUCCAAUGAAGCAACCAUGCGGUGGCGAGAAGCCACUUAGGAGCUUGAGGAAACUAUGCGGAGAGAGUAUCCGCAUCUAUUUGAGUCGACAAGUUAAGGUAUGUAUAAUUUCGCGGACGAAAUUAUUUUAAGGGGUGGAGAAUGUAAUAUACCGAAAAUUCGAAAAAUAAAUAUCGAACUUUAGUUAAAUUGACCAAAGUGCGAGGUUGGUACACUUCGAAAAGUCCGAAGAUGUUAAAAUGAUCAAAAGUGCAUUGUGGGAGAUUUCCANAAAGAACAAAGAACUUGCAUACUUGCAUGAUUUAUAUUGAGCAUAUUUAUUGCUAUUUAUUCAGGCAUAUUAGCAUCAUGAUUAUAGUUUGGUUACUAUUCUGCUUAUCCUUUCUAUUAUGCCUGAGUUAGUCCUAGUGGGAAAGUCGGUGAUGUUGGGGCCAAACCCACUGGAAACUUCGUUGUAGUUCUCACCCCACAUUCCACAGAGCCGGGGCCGAGCGAGCCGGCGAGCGACCGCGGUAAAGGUAUCGCACCUUAGUCAGAGGCCGCCCGAGUUGGGUUACUUACAUUUUGUAGUAGCAGUCCCUUUUAUCAUCUUUUGUAUUUGAUGAUUUAAGAUGUUAAUGUGAAAAAUAAGGAAAGAAAAGAAUGUAAUGUUUAUUUUGAGCAAAUGUGAUGUAAAAAGAAAUGAUGCAAGCAAUGUAAAGAAUUAUGAAUGUACAAGUUGGUUAAAUGCAAUGUAUGUGAUCAAAAGAGAAUCAUAGUACUUGUGUAGAUGUUUAGUUCCUUUCUCUCACUCAUGGCUAUUGCUUACCCUCGUAUAAGACGUUUGUGUAUGUUUCCGCUAGUGCACUUCUUGACUGAAAUAGUACAUGUGAUGAGCCUUGGGCGGACAGGAGAAACUCUGUCCGUUCGGCGACUAUUUGACGUGCUCGGGCCGGCCCAAAUUGGUAUCGGUCCCGAGGCGUGACAGAUAUCGUGGUAUCAGAGGCAAGAGUGAAAGGAUAGGAAUGGACCUAGAAAUCCUUAGGAUUGGAAACCUUAAGGAUCUAGGAAACGUGAAUGACGUGGAAUUAAAGUUAGUGAAAGCAUGUGAUUGGGUUAAGUUGGGACGUCUCUAACGUGAUUAGAGGCUAAGUUUAAUCUUCAUUUGUUUCCUACUCAUUGUUUUGUGUCGGGCGGCCGAUGACAUGAUGCUUGGGGCGAGAACAAAUGCAUAAGUUGCUUUCGCCAAAUUGGGUAUGGUCAAGUAAUGUUAGUUAUGUAGCUAAUGCGAGUUGCUUCUUUUCAGGAAGCAAUGGCACCUCGUGGUCGACUGCAGACAAGGUCGAUGCCUGAGCACCGAGUUCCUGCGGGGAGGUUGUAGAGCUUACCGAUUCUAGUAUGAAAGUGGGAGAAGAUCACUAUGGACUUCGUGAUGGGAUUGCCCUACUCACAGGCCGGGCAUGACGCUAUUUGGGUGAUCGUAGAUAGGUUGACGAAAUCGGCACAUUUCAUACCUAUCCACACUACUUGGACCGGUGAGAGACUCGUACAGGUAUAUUUGGAUGAGAUAGUGCGACUGCAUGGGGUACCUACUUCUAUAGUAACAGAUCAAGAUCCCCGUUUCGUGUCUCAUUUUUGGAGGAGUCUACAGGAUGCUUUCGGUACGUGCUUGGACUUCAGUACCGCUUUUCACCCACAGAGUGACGGUCAGUUAGAGCGCACCAUACAGACUCUUGAGGAUAUGCUCCGAGCUUGCGUAAUAGACUUCCGGGGAGGAUGGUCGCAGCAUCUACCGAUAACAGAGUUUGCUUAUAAUAAUAGUUAUCAAGCAAGCAUCAAGAUGGCACCGUUCGAGGCACUCUAUGGACGGAAGUAUAGAUCAUCACUCCACUGGAGUGAAGUAGCCGAGAGAGUGGCUUUAGGCCCUGAUGUGCUCUAGGAAGCGGAGGACAAAGUUCGCAUUGCCCGGAAGAGGCUGUUGACAGCCUAGAAUAGGCAAAAGAGUUAUGCUGACAAGCGUUGACGGAACUUGCAGUUUCAGAUUGGAGAUCACGUCUUCUUGAAAGUCUCGCCGACCCGAGGGAUUAGAAGGUUUGGAAUUCGGGGCAAGUUAAGGCCCCGAUUCAUUGGACCAUAUGAGAUUUUGGAACGUAUAGGCCCGAUAGCGUAUCGACUUGCUCUACCACCGAACCUAUCGGGUGUAUACAACGUCUUUCAUGUGUCGGUCCUUCGGAAGUACAUCCAUGAUCUGGCUCAUGUGCUUGAUGCGAUGCCAUUAGAGCCGAGGGAGGAUUUGAGUUUCGAGGAGCAGCCUGUGAGGAUCUUAGCUCGUGAGGUGAAGAGGCUGCGAAACCGCGAGAUCCCCUACGUGAAGGUUCUUUGGAGCAACCACGAGGAGCGCGAGGCCACGUGGGAGUUGGAGAGCGCACUAUAGGAGCGCUAUCCCUAUCUUUUUCAGAUGGAGACUUGAGGUACUUUGCUUUUCGAGUUUCGCAAAUGAAACUCUUUUUUAGGAGGGGUGAAUGUAACACACUGAAAUUUCGCAAAUUGUAAGGUUCGAGUGUUUAGGUUUGGUGUUCCAAGCUUUUCCCACACUUGGAGGAGGGUCGUAAACUGUUUUCCGACCAAAAAGUUCGAAAUCUGAAUUUCUGGACAAGUCCUCAGAUUUUUACUCUCAGGGAUCAAUCCUUGGUGGGAGAGACCGGUCCCCCACGACGAAGCAACCGGUCCCUGGCUGGGGAGACCGGUUCCCGAGAGCUGGUUUUGCGGGAGGGUCCCGAGGGACCGGUCCCAGCUGGGAGAGACCGGUCCCUCUGGGCGAAAACUGCCCAGUUCGGGCUGAUGCAUAGGAUGAAAAGUAAAGGGACUUUUCUGGAUUUUGUUAUAAUAGAGGGCCUAUAUGGCCAUUUCACUUCUCUCUCUCCCUCAUUUCACACUCUCUCUUGCAUCUUAGAGAGAGAAGGAGAAGAAGGAGGAAAAGGAGAAGAAGGUAAAAGAAGAAGAGCUUGUUUGAGGACUUGGAGCUUCACCCUCUCCCUCUCUUCUUCCUAUUGGUGGCUUGGAGCUUGUGCUUGGUGCUUGUGGAGGAUCAAUCUUCAACCCUAGAACACUUGGAGCUUGGAUUGGAGCUUCUAAAGAUGUUAGUUGCUUAUUCCUCCCCUCUAGGCCUAGUUUUGGUGGAUUUUAGGAGAUGAAACCCUAAAUUUGGAUUUUAGGGUUUAUUUUGGGGCUUUUUGGUUUGAGGCUUUUGGGGCUAAUCUAAUGGGAUUAGAAUCUUGGUUUAGAUUGCUUUGGAAGGGAUUUGACUUCCAUUUGAGCUUUGAUGAGGGAUUUCUUCACUAUAGGUGAGAUUUUGGCCCAUUUGUCUUGUUGGUUAUUGAUUGAGCUAGUAGUUGUUCGUUUACUUCUUGUAGCUCACUUUUUGAUGCUUCUAGGGUGUUAGGAGCUUAGUGGACAUCUUCGUUGGAGCAAACGAAGGGUUGCGCGAAGUUCGGUGGGUUUGACCUAGCCUAGCAUAUGAGAAAUUCUCAUAUCUAAUAUUUUAUGCUUCGUAAAGUAAAAAUUCAUGCAUUUCCAUGAUAAAUGUAUUUAUUGGAGAUUUUAGAAUGCUUAACAUGCCUAUGUUGUGUGUAAUGAAUUUUUGGGCCUCUAUGUAGUAGAGAACUAGCAUCUGGAACCUGUACAUGAGACCGGCAUUCCAUGUAAGGCUUGGGAUCGCGUAUCUAUAUUGAAAUUGGAAAUUAUAUCAUGCCCUUGGAUUUACGUUUAAAUGAGAAGCUACUUUAUGCUCUAGAGAGGCUUGGGAAACUCGCACUACUUGAGAAUAAUUGGGCUAAUGUCAUUAAGCGGCAUUGAGCUCGGGUCAUGUUUGAACCUAGUGUUAAAGUCAUGUUUGGAACAUAGAAUAUGAAAUGUGCUUAACUUAUAGCAAUGCUUAAGUGUCAUAAAGAGGCACUAAGCAAGGUGAGUGUUGGGACAUCACUUUGAGACAUAGAACUAGACCGUUGGGUUGCUAGUGGCUUUUACCAUGUUAGAGACAUGAUGAUUGGUUACUUGAGACGAUGACUUUGCUUGCUUGCCAUUUGUGCUCAUUCGCAUAUGCUUGUGAGGGUCGCUCCCUACAAGCCGGCACUCCGGAGUUGGCCUACGCGACUUAUGCUCGCCCGUGCGGUAUAGAGAAGCCUACGGGGUCGGGAGUGAUAGACUCAUUUCCAGAGUGAAAAUGCUGAAGCUACCACCGACACUUAGGCGGUGCUAGCCGGACUACAAUCGUGUAGGUCCUAAGACAAGAUUGAGCAUGGACAUAAACUCUUAAAUAUGAAUCACUACUACAUAAAUCAUAGUAGUUGGAUCACUUGGCAUAUUUAUAGUGUGGCUUUGAGAUUUCUGGACAUAUAGUAUACUUGAUAGAAUUGCUUUGCAUCUUAGUAUACUUGGCAGUUAUGAUGAACAUAUUCCCCUUGUAUUGGCAUAUUCACUCAUGAUAGUAUUGAUACACAUCAUGUUUACAUGUGGCGUAGUAGCAUAGCAUUUCAUACAUGCUUUCAAUUCAGCAGCUUGUUAUUGCUUAAUAUUAUCAUUACUUACUCCUUUUCUUUGGGCCUAGUGGUGCAUUGCGCUGAGGUCAGUAAUUGCCCACUGGAAACUAUAAAUUAUAGUUUUCACGCCCUCUGUUUCAUGUUUUUAUUUCAGAGCCUUCCACUCCGGGUGAGGCUAGGGACCGCGAAAAGGGAAUCGCCACGAGCUAGCUUGUGAGCGAGGGACGUUCGAUAGGUGGUCCACCUCUUCUUUGUUUUCUUUUUGGGAGAGGAUGAGAGUUGUACCUUGUAUAGAGACCACCCUUUUUGUAGUAUUUUUGUGAUGACUCUUGUACUGACUUUAUCUUUUCGUUUAGUAGUUUACUUUCCCCUUUCUCUACUUGUCGUUAGUUGUUAGCUGUUAGUAGCUUUGAUAUCUCUAGUGACUUUAUUUCUUCUUGCUUCUAUAUCUCUUUUGUUGUAGACGCCUUAUAUGUGCAGGCAUAUGGCGGGUCUGGGCACGCAUCGGGCGGGCCUAUGCCGGGUCCCGAGGCGUGAUAUUAAGUUGUCAAACAGAAACAAAACAAGAAACAUGAAAUAAGUUAUUGUGAAGGGAAACUUGAACUAAAAUAUUCAUGUAUUUUCAAUAGUCAACAUUAUGUUCUUAUAUAAACCACCAAACCCAUACAUAAGAGUGCUUUAUGAAGUGACCUUUCAAUUUAUAUAUAUUUUUUAGAUCAUAACUACCAAUUAGUUAUCGAUAUCUCUUUGAACGUUAACCGAUAUAUAGGAGUUAAAUUUAAAUAUUUAUAAUGUAAUAGUCAAUUUUGAUGGGCUCAUACUCAAAGGAACGCUAAUAAAAUGUUAGGCAUUACUUAAAAGUUAAUGGUUAACUACUGGUGACAUCAGUAUGAAAUCAUAAAUAUUUAAUUAUUAUUUUAUUUUUUUAUAUAAACAAUAUGUUUAUAUUAAUAUUUUAAUAUUAUGCUUAAUUAUAAAAUACUGAUUUUAGACCAAAUUAAGUAGAUAUAACUUUUUAAGAUUCACUUUUUAUAAGACUAAUAUGUGUUAGUAAAUAACAAAACUGAUUUUACGCCGUUGGAUUUUAAUAUGACUUUAUCAAAAAUAUCUGAUCGGUUUGAUUAAAAUCGGAUGUAACACACUGGACCUUCGCGAAUUGCAAGGUUGGAGCGUUUGAUAUGUGCUCCGAGCUCUUCCAUGCUUGGUGGAGGGUCGUAGACUGUAUUCUGUCCUAGUAGUUCGAAUUCUGAGUUUUGGCUACGUCCUGAGAGUUUAACUCUCGGGGAUUGGUCCCUGGUGGGAGAGACCAGUCCCUAGUAGCACGGGUUGCGGCAGUCGGCCGAGGCAACCGGUCCCCUGGCUAGGGAGACCGGUUCCCGAAUGCGCAGAUUGCGGGAGGGUCCUGAGGGACCGGUCCUUGGUGGGAGAGACCGGUCCCUCUGCCCGAAAUCAGCCCAGUCUGGACUAUGUGAGAGAGGUGAAGUGGAGGGGUUUUGCUGCAAUUGUUACAUCUCUUAGUGUAUGUAGAGGGGGCAGGGCUCUCUCCCUCUCUCAUUUCCCUCACUCCCUUUCCUUUCUUUCUUUCUUUUUCUCUCAAGAAGAAGAAAAAGAAGAAGAGGAAGAGGAUCAAGCUUGGAGGCCUUUGGACAUCUCCUUCUCCCUCUCUUCCCACCUUGCUGAUGCUUGAAGGCUUGGACUUGGGGCUUGUUGGAGAGGAGAUCAUCGCUCUUGGGGCUUGGUUUGGAGCUUCUUAAGAGGUUAGUUGCUCCCUUCUCCUCUCUAGACCUAGAUUUGGUGGUUUUUGGGAGAUAAAACCCUAGAAUGGAAAAUCUAGGGUUUAUUUGUGGCUUUUUGAUUUGAAGCUUUUAGAGCUAAUCUAAUUGGAUUAGAACCUUGGUUUAGGUUGCUUCGGAAGGGAUUUAGCUCCCAUUUGAGCUUUGUAGGGGGAUUUCUACACUAUAGGUGAGGCUUUGGCCUCUUUUGCCUAGAUGGUUAAUGUUUACUCUUGUGGUUGUUCGUUAGCUUCGUGUAGCUCAUUUUUUGAUGCUUCUAGGGUGCUAGGAGGCUAAUGGACACCCCCGUUGGAGCAAACGAAGGGUUGCGUAAGUUUCGGUGGGUUUGACCUAGCCAAAAAUAGGAAAAAUUUUCAUUAUUGGUGAUUUAUGUAUCGUAAAGUGAAAAAUCAUGCAUUUUCAUGCUAGAUGUAUUUAUUAUGAAUUUUAAAAUGCUUAACAUGCCUAUGUUAUGUAUAAUGAAUUUUCGGACCUCUAUGUAGUAGAGAGCUUGUACGUGGGACUUGUGCAUGAGUCUUGGCAUUCUACUUGAGACUUGGAACCUUGUUCCCUUAGCGAAAACGGAAAUUGCAUCACGCCCUUGAACAUUAUGAAAUGAGAUAUGAGCGAUUACCUUAAGCCAUAGAGAGGCUUGGGACUGGUACUAUUUGUGAACGAUUGAGCUAAUGUCAUAAAGGGGCAUUGAGCUCGGGCUAUGAAUGAACCUCGUAUUAAAGCCAUAAAGUGUCCUAGAAUGUGAAAUGUACUUGGGUUAUAGAAAUGUUUAAGUGUCAUAAAGAGGCACUAAGCACAGUGUAUGUUGGAAUUUCGCUCGAGACAUAGAACUGGAUCGUUGGGUGGCUAGUGACUAAUGCCAUGGUAGAGACAUGACGAUUGGGUACUUGAGCUAUUGAUUUUGCUUGCUUGUCAUUUGUGCUCAUUCGCACAUGCUUGUGAGGGUCGCUCCCUACAAGCCGGCACUCCGGAGUUGGCCUACGUGACUUAUGCUCGCUUGUGCGGUAUCGAGGAACCUACGGGGUCGGGAGGGAUAAACUCAUUUCCAAAGUGGGAAUGCUGGAGCUACCAUCGACACUUAGGCGGCACAAGCUGGACUACUCGUGUAGGUCCUAGAACAAGAUUUAACUUUGACACCAAAUCCUAAAAUGUGAAUCACUACUAGAUAGAUUAUAGUAGCUGGGUUACUUGACAUGCUUAUAAAGUGGCUCGGAAAUAUUGGGACACGCAGUAUACUUGAUAGUGUUACUCAUUGCAUCAUAGUAUACUUGGUUGCCGUGAAGAACAUAUUCAUCUUAUAUUAGCAUAUUCAAUCAUGAUAGCAUUGAUAUACAUCAUGUUUACUUGUGGCUUAGUAGUAUAGCAAUUCAUAUAUGCAUUCAAUUCAGCAGUUUACUAUUGUUUCCUCUUUUAUGCUUACUUUAUUUUGGGCCUAGUGGUGCAUUGUGCUGAGGUCAGUAAUUGCCCACUGGGAACUAUAAAUUAUAGUUCUCACGCCCUCUAUUCAUAUUUCUUUUUAGAGCCUUCCACUCCGGGCGAGGCUAGGGACUGUGGAAAGGGUAUCGCGUCGAGCUAGCUGGUUGGUGAGGGACGAUCGAUAGAUGAUCUACCUCUCUUUUAUUUUUUUUGGAAGAGGUUGAGAGUUGUACCCAUAUAGAGACCACCCCAUUUUGUAGUUCUUUGAGAUGAUUUGUAUCACUUUAUGUUUACCUUUAGUGAAUUGCUUUCCUUUUCUUUACUUGUCUUUAAUUUUUAGCUAUUAGUUGCUCUGAUAUUUUUAGUGGUUUUAUCUCUUCUCGCUUUUACACCUCUAUUGUUGUAGACGGCUUAUAUGUGCAGGCAUAUGGGGGGUCUAGGCACGUACCGGGCGGGUCUAUGCCGGGUCCAGGGGCGUGACAUCGGACCGGUUCACCGGUUAGAUAAUUGAACCCCCAGUUUGAGCAUCAAAGUGAUUUUUUAACUUAUCCAAUUCAAAGGGUUGAACUAAAUCCUUUUAUAGACUAAUUUACAGGAAUGUCGGUUGGACUCCGGUUAAAACUACACCUAUACUAAGGCCAACUAGAAGUUAAGGAGUAGUAUUUAAUGGGUAUUUUGGGUGUAUGGUAGUGAGGAAAACUUAGAAGUGGGUAAAUAAAUAAAUUUAAAUUAUUGACAAAAAGAAGGACCAUGACUUCAUGUGGUCAUUUGGUGUAUGGACAAAUUGGCAAUUAAUAAAAGUGAUUUUAAAAAUUAUUUAAUUAAGCCAAAGAAUGCUUUACCUAUCACUUUGCUCUCUCUCUCUCUCUCUCUCUCUCUUAUGUGUCUCUUUCUCUUAAAUGUUAGUGGCCAUAUGGAACACCACCCACAUAUCAUAUCCUUCUUUGCGCACACAUAAACCUACCAAAUCCAAUACACAACACUCAUGCACUUGCCCUUUAUUAUUUUUCUCCUUUUUUACGCCUUCCCCCCUCUCUCUCUCUCUCUCUCUCUCUCUCUCUGGCUGCUUUGGGAUACUGGAAUAGCACUCCCAAUUACUGGUUCCUGACUCUCUCUCUCUCUCUCUCUCUCUCUCUCUCUCUAGAGGCCAAAGAGGAACCCUAAAGCUGUGAUCUUUGACAAUUAGGUACACACACAGAUCCUUUCUCCCCACUUUUUUACUGGUUUUUACUUUUAUCAAGAAUCUGUGUGUUGCAUCUCCUCUCUUUCUUCUUCUUCUUCUUCUUCUUCUUCUUCCCCCAUUUUUGGAAGCUUGGAUCUGAAUUAGGGUUUUGAUGGUGAGGUGAUUUCCUGAGGGUGGCAUUGCGGAUGAUUCCUGGGGAUCUCCUCUUCUCUCGCAUUAAUGAUGGGUUUUGCUAAUUGGGUUGUCGAUUUGAUUGCUGUUUUUUGUGGAAAGGUAACAAAGGUUGGAUCUUGAUGAGACUGGUUUGAUCCCCUGUGAGUUUAUAUUGGCGAUCUACUUCUUGGUUGCUUUUGUUCUUGCAAGUUUUGGGUUAAAAUCGUGUGCAUUUGUUCAUAUUCGGGAUUUUUAUCAAUUGAUGUGGAAAAAUUGCAUGCUUUGUAGGGAUUCUUUCAAACAAUAUCUGAUUUUUAUGUUGUUUUGUGCUGAUCUAGCAAAUUACUUUCUGUCUUCUAUUAAUUUUAGUUAAUUUUGAUCUAUUAAGAUGUGAUGUGUAUGGUACAUCAUCUUAUGAAUUUGGUUUGGUCGGAAACCGAUCUCUCCGGCGUUAUUUCGUCUAGUUCUUGUAGUUGAGCAUUUUGAUGCCUCUUCUCGAUGCAUAUAAACCUAAAAGUGGCAGAUUCAGAUAUAAAAGUUUCUUUUUAAACUCGACAUACUGCUUGGUUUCAGCUUUAAUCGCGACCUCUGAAUCCGCAGGCUCUACAGUUUCUUCUAGUUGCGUUGUUUAUAAUUUUUCUUCUUGGAAAAAGAGAAGAAGAAAGUAACAUGAUAAAACUCAGCUUCUUGAACCUGUCAGAUAUCUCUAAUCUAUUGCUGAGCAGUGUACUUCACAUUUUGAUUUCCUUCUCAUUUGUUAUCGAGCAGUUUUGUGCUUUCGUCGCAGACAUCUCAUGUCCAUGGUAGGGUGAUGGGGGAAGUGAAGUUUUAUGCGUCAGAUAAGAGGGUUCUCCGUAGAAUACAUUCAACACAAUCGAUCUUGCAUUAUCAAGAGUUGUUGUGAACGUCAAACUCUUUUCCUUAAUUGAUGGCUUCUGACUCUUUGCCCGAAAUUACCUCGGAGGAUCAGUACAAUAGCCCCACCAGUAGUGAAGUAACUGAACCAGCUUCUACCGACUCUUCACUUCCACAGACUUCUGUGCCAAGCAAAUCAGAAACCACCUCAUCGACCGAUUCGCUAAAAUCUUCGCUCCUAAAUACAGAAAAACGACCAAGUAGAGAAGCAGUGCAAGAUCAAAAUGGUCAUUCAAAACAUAGUAACUCAGACCCAUCUUCUCCAAAAGGCGAUUUUGUUGGCUCAAGUGAACCCCCAAGCGUAGAAUGCAAUAAAGACCGAGAGAAGAAGAAUUCUGAGCAUGGUAGCGUCAAAAACAGCUCGGCUUCUGCUAAAGUUAGUGAUGGUACCAGCAGUUUGGAGAAGACUAGUGAGAGCGGUAAAAUAAGCGACCGUGCCGAUUUCGUCGAGAGCGGAAAGAGUAGUAUGUGCAGGGCCAGUUCUAGCAGCAAUGUGAGUGAUGAAAGCUCUUGUAGCACCAUAAGCAGCAAUAUAAGCAAACCCCACAAAGCAAAUGAUUCAAGAUGGGAAGCUAUUCAGGCGAUUAGGGCUAGAGAUGGUGUUCUUGGUCUGAGCCAUUUUAGGUUACUUAAGAGGCUUGGAUGUGGUGAUAUUGGCAGUGUGUAUCUAUCCGAAUUGAGUGGAACAAAGUGUUACUUUGCAAUGAAAGUUAUGGACAAGGGAAAUCUGGCGAGCCGUAAGAAGCUGUUUAGAGCACAAACGGAGAGGGAGAUUUUGCAAUGCCUCGAUCAUCCGUUUCUUCCGACGUUGUACACACACUUUGAGACGGAGAAGUUUUCUUGCGUGGUGAUGGAGUUUUGCCCUGGAGGAGAUUUGCAUACACUUCGGCAGAGGCAGCCUGGGAAGUACUUUUCAGAACAAGCUGUCAAGUAUGGACCUUGAUCUUUUCCUUGUUUCCUGUUAAAGAUAUUAGUGGGUUUUCAAGUCUUCAUGUCUUUUAUUUUCUAUUGAAAUAUUUUCCCAAAACUUAGCACAUUUGAAUUGUUGUCUUUGGUAUUUAUGGUACAGAGUAAUUUUAAAACAUAGAUAAUGUUCUUUAUGCUCAUGCAGUUUAUUUUAGCUCGUAAUUGUUUGAAAAUGGAAUUAUCAUAUGAUUGCCUCCUUAGUUUUACUGAGGAAAAAAAAAAUUCUUAGUGUUAGUAGAAGCCAUGGAACUUAUCAUUAGAUUGAAAACUGAGAAUUGAAAAGAUUGGUUGAUAAAUAAUGAACAAGAUUCUUGAGAAAUCGUAAUAACUUAUUGCUAGAAUAGAACUUCUAUUUAACUACUUUGAUUCUCUGCCAUGGUGAAGAGCAUAUGCCAUCUUGACUAUUUAAUUGUAUUAGCUUGCUCAUUGGUUGAUUAGAAUCCUGUUAAAGUGAGCUGUUACUAGUUUUUCUAUAUUUGCAUGUACCUGCUAUUGGCUUCUGCUGUUGUCUUUUUUGUUCAACCAGGUGAGCUUGAUUUUGUGAUGACUCAUUUGUAUUGGUCAGAAAGAUUUUUUUUUCCUUUUUAUGUAUGUGGUUUGUUACCGGCGAUGACUUGAAUAGCAUCUGCCAUUUAGUUGGUUUAAUUCAGUUACUCCACUUAUAUAAGUUUAUUACUGAAAAAGUAUGAUCAGAUUCACCCUUAGACCUUCUUGCAACUUCAGAUUGUUAAUUCCUUUAUGGCAUCUAAAUGAACAACAAUAGUUAUACUUUUUUUACUUUGGCAUUAGAGCAAUGAUACCUAGCUGUUCGAUCAUGUCUUUUGAUCUUUAGGUUACAUAGUGGCUUCUAAGAUUGAUCUUUAAAGAACACUUAAAAUGUUUUAGUCUUUCAGGCAUGGAUGGGGUGCGCAAUGUACAUCCAUGCGGGCUGCUGAUAUAUAGGAUUCCCAUCGCUGUAUGAUGGGGAUCAAAUCAUCUUCAUCGAAGUCUCAGCAGGUUUCAUUAUUUACAGGGAAUUCCACGCAAUGGCACAAACACAUAAAUCAUUUAAAAAACUUAUAAUUUGAGUAUUCUUCACUCCAAUUUCAACUCAGUUAAGCUUGAUAUCAAUUUUUGGAUCUUCUAAUUAUCACGACCAAUUAAAGUUAUUGUCACUAUAUGCUAAUUUAUUAACCAUUAUGUAUCAAAUUGCUAAAAGACAGAGGAAUCCAACAACAUUUAACUAAUAUACUAGGUAACUAAAUAACUAUAUUCAAUUACAUUCGCUGCCAUUUACUAAUUUUUAAGGACAUCAAAACUAAUCAGCAUUAGAUAAAUAACCAAGUACAUAGACACAUGUACUUUAAAUAUGAGAACCUUGAGAGGGGAAGGGGUAGUUGCCAUUCCAUGAAAGAUAUCACCCAACAAUCAAUUUGGUUUCAUCAUAGGAGAACUUGGUGUUAUUCAAGUUUUCAACAUUAUGAAUUAAGGCCAGAAUCAUGUCAUAUCAGUUGAUUUAUGUUGCAAACUUGGAGGGGAUAGUGUUUUCUCAUUUUCUUUUCUUUUCCUUUUGAUGAAUGGUCCAAAACGGGCAAAUUUCAUCGGUAGAUGAUUAAGGUAACCUUGUCUUAUAUUUGGGAGAGAAGCAAAAAUGAUAUGGCAAAUGCGCCAUACUUGUAGAAAUGUACAGAAUUGGAAGGAAAGGUAUGGUGCCAGCUACAUUGUCAGGAGAGGAUUGUAGGUACGGGUGGCAAAAUAUGGCCCUCCGGUUGACUGAUUCGGUCUGAUCCAGAAAGUAAUCGGGUACGAACAUACAAUCGUGCUGAAAAAUUGGAUUCAGCCAAAAUUUUUUGUCUGAAUAAAAAAUCGGGUCUGGGUUCAGUCCAAUAAAUCUGGACAAACAGGGUCAUAAUACCCAGAAGUCUAAUAGACUCAUAUAGAGAUUUUUCUUUUAGUCAUCUCCUAUCUCCGAGGAGAAAAUUGAGUAUGUGAUACUCAAAGAAUCUCUCUUUCCAACUUUUAGAAGUAUAGCAGGCAACUUCUCAUCUUCUUUCCAUCUUUUCAAAAUUUUUCUAUUAUUUCCCACUUUUAAACUCAUGAUUCCUUUCUUCAAUGUUUAAAACGGACUCGGUUUAAAACCGGAUCAAACUGGGUUUAGUUUCAUACGAAGUAACAGCCUAAAAUUGGGCCUGGUUUUAAACAGGCAAUCUUGUCUGAAUUAUGGAUCCGGGUCAGAUUAGGACAUAAUAGAUGCUCAUUGUUCUUACCCAUUGUCCUACCUGAUUUUGACCUGGACCUGAAUUUUUGCCACCCCUAAUUAUUAUAGAGAAUUAUGACUUGCUUUCAGUAUAGAAGUUCACUUUCUCUCUAUAGUUGUAGGGAUUUGUCAUUGUACGGUGCUUUUAAAAAAUUGUAUGAAACAUUUGUUUGACAUUGGGAACAAAUUGCUCUCUAAAUCAAAAUCUCAGGUCUUGUUUGAAAUUGGUUACUUAAUAGCUCAAAUACUUGGACCUCUUUGGUACAAGCAAAUAUUUUUGCUAAUUUAUAGAUGUGAUUAACAGUAAAAGCCAAACUUCCAAGUUGGUCCACUAUGUUUUGCGAGUUAUCUAAAUUUUGGACUAAAUUUUGUACUUUUUUCCUGGAAAAUAGUCAUAUAACCUACUGACAUGAUUUGUUAAAUCAAAAUCAGCCUAAGAUUGAGUAUAUAUUUGUCCACUAGGGAGGGGAUCUGCAACAGCUAAUCUUUACUGUAGGGAAUAUCAUUAGUUACCAUCAGAAAUAACAGUUCAUAAGAACAUGUAAAAUAACUACUGUGUAAAAGUCACAAUACUAAACACAUGAUUACUAGAAUUGAUGAAUAUAGUUAUACAGUUAUCAAAAGUUAUAAGAAGAGGUCAGAAAUGGUGUAAACCAAUGUAUCGACUUACAUGAAAUUUGGUUAGUAACGAACUAAUCUUAGGUAACAUUUUACAUUUAGGGAUUUCAUUGACUAGUUUAUGUGUAAGGUUAGCUAUGGUACGUCAUCUAGGAGAUAAUUCUUUGGAGAUAGGAGGCUUUCUGUCUCAUGGAAUGCAAGUUCAACACUUAAUGUUUUGCUGGUCUGAAAGAGUCGUAGAUCUUUGGACAUUAUGUAUAUAGUACAAAUAUGUCACAUGUCCAGACUCGCGCAUUAGUACCAAGAUGGCUAGGAAUAUUCUCAUGAACAACUGUAAUGGCUGAUAGUGCAUUCAAAGAUUAUUGUGCUGGCGUUGCCAUUUCGUAUGGAUGAUUUUUCAGUUGUACAAGAGCAGUCUUAUGAUGAGAUUGGCAAAUUUUGGAGCAUUUGUUUUACUUUGAUUUGAAUUUUAAACUUUUCAAGAUCAACAAAUUGUAUCAUCCUAUGAAUUUUAUCUCUUUGAACUUCUCAUGAUAUUUUUACCUUAAUUAGUUCACCAAAAGAAAAAGUUAUGCUGUCUUUUGCCUUAUGAUGAGAUUUAUGCCCUUUGUGACAAAAUAUUCUCGAUUCCAUUUUUUCUAUAUGUUUCAUGCUAUUAUUUAUUCCUUUGAUAGAUCAUGUUUAGAAUAUGCUGUGAAUAUUUUCUUGCUACUUUAGUCAUGUUCUUCUUGCUUCAUCUCAUUUUAGCAACAAUUGUAGUGUCUUUUUCUACCCUGUGUAGUUAGCCGUGUGUCAACGAUUAGAACUAGUCCCAUGUCUCCAUAUGGUGUUAAUUAUGUAUAUGCUGAAACAAAAGAUUUAAAUGCCGUGGCACGGGGGCAUGCUGAAAACUUGCUAUCAUGAUAUAGCAAGGUGUGUGUCAUGUCAUGCUGAUGCAAGCCGGUCACAAAAAAUACCUAUGUGCCAACACACAGUGGCAUGAAAUAUUUCUUUCGCGCCAAUAUGUUCUAAUAGCUUAUUAUAUUUUUUUAUCAAAUCUUUUGCACUUUAUUGAGGUAACUACUUGCUAAGUUCAAAGGAAAAAGGGUUUUGGCUGUGCUAUCGGUGUGGGUGCCGUAUCGUGUCAAUAUCUUGUCAGCACAAUACGAUAUGUUGGGCACAACCUGUGUUGAUGGGCAUUUAAAUCGUUGGGCUGAAAUGAUAUUUGCAACAACCCGAUCUGCUAGAACUAAUAACUUGUUGGGCCAAAACCACUGGUCCAAAAUGCUUAUGCGUAGUAACCUAGUUACUAGUUUUAGUCUGUUUGUCAUAUAUAAGCCCUAGGCAUUUUCCCACAUUAUUCGAUGUCGGACUAUUGGGUUGUCGCAUGCUCUCCCUGUUUUAGGGGUUGACAUCUUUGUUAGUCCAAUCACACACAUUGCUUAAGAUUACCAAACGAUAUGAGGCCCACUUUGCACUUCCGGCUGAUGAACUGGCUUUGAUAGCAACUAUAACGAUCCGGCACACCAGCAAUAAUAAUUCGUUGAGCUCAAAUCACUGGCGCAAAAUGCUUUAGCCCCAUUAUUAUUCUAGUGUGCUCGUCAUAUAUAAGCCCCUUACACUUUCCUACAUUAUCCGAUGUGACACUAUUGGGGUGCCACGAUAUUAAUUGUUGAUUGGUUGGCCUUUUAUGUAGAAAAGGGCUUGUAACCAAGAACGCAGUAAACAAUGGAUAAGCACUUCAGUAGUAGGCAUGACGGAAGGGGCUUGAGUGGUGUGCCUCUCUGCAUUGCAACAUUUCAAAUCCACAACCCAUCCUGGCUGUCUUAUAGUGCGCCCAGAACUUAAUAUGUAGUUAGUUUCUUGAAAAUGACCUCGUUUGAGUUCGUCUGUGACCUUACAAGUCUAUUUGGGGAAAGAUUGUUUGACAAAUAAGUUCUAUCAUAUCUUUUACUAGUUUUGUUCUAUUCUUCCAUUCCUGCUAAAACUCCUUUCUUCCAUGAGAUCUCAUUAUUGCUGCAUUAUGUUGUUUCUUUGAUCAUCCCAUAUCACCUCAAUCAAUUUUCCUGCAAGUCUCUUUGGUUGCCAUAUGUCACGGUGUCAGACAAAAAACUUUUAAGGCUAUCUUCUUCCAUUCCUUGUCUCAGCAUCCUUGGCCGUAUUAUUUAUUGUUUUAAUAUGUUGUUUCUUGCUCUUUAAAAUUCUGAUCCAUCAGCCUAAGGGGCAUAUGAAAGCAACGUAGUUUCCUGUUUCAGCUAUCUGAGCUGAAUUAUAUUAGCAAUUUGAUUGAAUCUCUUCCACCUUCAACUAAUGAUCUCAGGUAGCAGAUUGACUUCCUCUUAGUUAUUUUGAUCCGUCAAGGAUACCUCUGUUUUAUCCCUCUAUACAGAAUUGCAUUCCAUAUGCUAAGUGUUAAGCCACUUAUCUUAAUACCCUUAGAUUUCAAGUUACUGCAUAAUGCUUAAAACUGUCUUCAAUCCAAUUUUGGAUUCAUGAAUUAAAACCAUGCUACUAAUAAAUAAGAUACAUAAUGGUAUAUUUUAGUUUUGUCUGUGUAUCUCAUUAAGAUCUCAAUUCCAAAAUAAGCUUCUUCUGUGGUGCCUUUUUAACCCUAAAAAGGAAAAUGAGAAAGUAAAAGAGAAAAAAGAUGCUAUCCGCAAUACCUGAAUUCCAUUUUCAUGUUUUGGAAUUUCCUAUUCUACAGCAGCUCUGUUGCUUCUAUUACUUUCAAUUGGGUUUCUAUGUUGUCAGACAUUACUGUUGUGGUUUUUUCUCUUGCGCCUGUAAGCCUUAUCAGCUUCCAAACACACUGAUUGCAUUAGUUCAUUUCUUAAGGAAGGGAAUCUCUGCAUGAUUUUGUUAUUUUCAAUUAUCUAAAACAGGGUCCUACAGAUAUCUAAUGAAGUAACUAGUGAUGGCAAGCAACUAAGGCAUGAGGGAAUUACAAACAUCUUUGAAGUCAUCAAUUUCCCAAAUAUGGUUUCAUAGAGCAGAGCCCUAGGAUGCCAAGUGUCACGGACAAAACUUUUUCUUCGUAAAAGCCCGUGCGGCGCCCCCUUCUUGCUCGAAGAUGGGCAAGCCUUCCCCAAGUCCAAAUACGGACAAGCCUUCGAAACUUAACAGCGGAAUACCAAUCCAAGCAUUUGCCAAGCUUGCUCCUGCGCGAGACUGACAGCUCAACCAAUCGCCUGCAAUCGAACCCCUCGUCGGACUCCACGAGUUCCCCAACGAGCAACCCCAAUACUGAGGCUGGCCACCAAGCAAGGUCACUUCUCCACCAUUGUGCCUCAUGCACCCGACAGCAUCCACGGCCAUACCGCCCACUCGCGGCCUGCUCGCUCGGUCCAAUGACACACGUCAAAGCAGCCACCCAAGUGUGCGCCACAAGCUCGUCUGUCUUCCAACGCCAGCGACCAGCGCGACACCCCGCACGCCCAUGCUCCGCACAUUCGUGCUUCACAUACGACCCGUACGACACACGUGCCCUCAACGCUCCUGGCAAGGAAGCCAACAAGCCCACACCGUGCUCUUCGACUGUCCACACGACCUCGCAUUGCCAUGGCGCUCCGCGCCCUCGAUUUCCAUAGUUUCGCCACAUAAGGCCCCAUACAAACGAGCCGGCCACACACCGCGUCGCAACCCAUCUAACCCCUCCACGGCUCGACCACCUCUGGCCGCAGACUAAUGGUCCGAUCCCUCAAGGUUCACCAUACGGAUACCGAUGCUGUUUGCCUCACUGGGUUUCGUCCCUCUCGAGUCUCCAAGACCUACGCGCCUCGCGAGUCUCCUUCGACGUGCCUCCUUUUUGGCGAUCCUACAGAGAUCCAUCUCCUUAAGUCUUCGCAGGCACCGCGNCAACAAGCCCACACCGUGCUCUUCGACUGUCCACACGACCUCGCAUUGCCAUGGCGCUCCGCGCCCUCGAUUUCCAUAGUUUCGCCACAUAAGGCCCCAUACAAACGAGCCGGCCACACACCGCGUCGCAACCCAUCUAACCCCUCCACGGCUCGACCACCUCUGGCCGCAGACUAAUGGUCCGAUCCCGCGUGCUCCCCCACAGAGAUCCGAGACGGCAUAAGGUAGUGCAAGCGAACCUAGGAGCAAAGCCUCCCGGGUGCUUCCCGCUCCACAAUGUCUUCGACCUCUGUCUCAGACAUUGCCCUAGGCCCGUGACCCUUCAACCAUCCGUUGCACAGUCACACGAAACACUAGGCUUGGCUACUCCGCUAGCCAAGGGACGACCCAUGUCCUAUGAGUCGGCGGGGGAGUCGGGGCCACUCCAGCGGUGUCCACCCCUCCUCCUAUAUACCAUGCAAGACAUCCAGCCCUUUGGCACCCCGGGGGUACAAAGGUGCCCACCGAGGAGUACGUUUUGAAACCCCGCAUGCGGUACCAAAAUCCUUGCCAUGGCAUGGGCCAUUGCUAGAGAAUUGCCUCCGUAGACUUGACAGCGGCUCCAACCUGACGGAACGCUUCAACUCCGCAACUCCAUAGCUUCGUCAACUCAAUGACUACCAAAUAUGGCUCCCAAAGAGCAUCACGGUCGAGCCCUAACGAUUGACCCGUGACACAAGGCUCUGAAGGUUCUUUUUGCUGUAUCGAUCACCUUGAACAUCUCGAAAUCAUGUAGGAGGUGCAUGUAGGCUAAGAUCAAAAGAUGUGUGCAUUAUAGUGCAUGUUCUUUUCUCUAAUUUAGUUAGUAGUACUACCCAAAAAUUUCCCUCAACACAGAAAUUGCGUGGACUAAAGAGAAAGAAACAUUUUCCUUUUAUUUUUUUUUCUCUCCCUGAUGCAUGGAUUAUCUGAUGAACUGAUUGAAUCUGAAUUUAAUUAACACAUUCUUCAAGGACAUGUUACUAAUAUCACAGUAAAAUAAAGAACUAGAUUCUGUUACUAUUAAUCCCUUUGAUUACUAAGCUAUGCUAGCCUCUGCGUUGAAUUUCCUUAAUCAGUAAACAGAUCUAUAUGUUUUUUCUUUACAACAACUGUAUUCUAGUAUUUUUGGCUUGCAACAAAGGAAAUUGUUUCUGAACUGCUGAUUGCAAAUUUUGUCAUCACUGUAUAUUGUACUUUGUAUCAGAUCGUGUAUAAGCAGUCAAAUUCAUCCAGAUUCCUGUUGAGAACUUUAAUGGUCUAGAGAAAAGUAAGCUUAUAAUUCUUCUUUUUUUCUCGGUGGUCAAGUUUUGUCAAUACAUUGCAUGCGAAGAGAGCUAAUGUUAGGUUGUAAUUCAUAUGUUGAUUCAGCAUCAAUAAAAUCGACUAUUACUGUCGAUUUGUAGCAAAAGUUGAAACUGUGUAGUACUGCUGAUUAGACUUGACUAGAGUUUGCUAAAACACAUCUUCGCAAUGUAAUGUGUUCAAUUCAGAAAUAUAUGUAUGUUUAUUUAAGAAUUCUAGAUUUUUCUUGAGCUUAUUUGUAACUACUACUCUUAACACUAGAGAUACAUUACAAACGAAGCAAUGUUAGGUGGAGAGAUUGCAGUUGUUCCUGUUUACUACUGUAAAGUUUCUUUAUCUGUUAGGUGCUUUAGUUCCUUAACAGCUAUUACUUCAUUUUGCAAGCAGAAAGCAUAAUAAGAAAUUUAUAGAGUGAUUCAUGUUCUUCGGUGUGAUGCUCUUUUACAAAUUGCAGGUUCUAUGUAGCAGAGGUUCUUCUCUCCUUGGAAUACCUGCACAUGCUCGGUAUCAUCUACCGCGACCUCAAACCCGAGAAUGUCCUUGUGCGCGAGGACGGCCACAUCAUGCUGUCCGACUUUGAUCUCUCCCUUCGAUGCACCUUCAGCCCUACCCUCGUCAAAUCCUCCAACCCUGACCAGAGAAACAACAACAAUUCUAUGUACUGUGCCCAACCUGCCGCCUGCAUCGAGCCAUCCUGCAUUAUCCAACCAUCCUGUUCAGUCCCAACAACGUGCUUCUCCCCUCGCCUCUUCUCGUCCAAGUCCAAGAAAGACCGGAAGCCGAAGCCCAAGACUGAUAUAGGAAACCAAGUCAGCCCGCUCCCAGAGCUCAUCGCGGAGCCGACUGAUGCCCGGUCCAUGUCAUUCGUCGGGACCCAUGAGUACUUGGCGCCGGAGAUCAUCAAAGGGGAAGGGCAUGGAAGUGCCGUGGAUUGGUGGACCUUUGGGAUUUUUCUCUAUGAGCUUUUAUUUGGAAAAACUCCCUUCAAAGGGUCGGGCAAUCGAGCCACAUUGUUUAAUGUGGUGGGCCAGCCCCUGCGGUACCCUGAAUCGCCAGUGGUGAGCUUCGCUGCAAGGGAUCUGAUAAAAGGUUUGCUCGUGAAGGAGCCGCAGCAUCGCCUUGCCUACAAGCGUGGGGCCACAGAGAUAAAGCAGCAUCCGUUCUUCGAGGGCGUGAACUGGGCCUUGAUACGGUGCGCGACCCCGCCGGAGAUCCCAAGGCCCGUCGAAAUCAACCGGCCUAUAGGGCCUGUUGCAUCGACGAGCCAAAAGGCCACAUUAACUGUGGAGAAAGGCAACGAUAACUACCUGGAAUUCGAUUUCUUUUAGGGGAUUUGCAAUAUAUAUAUAUAUAUAUAUAUAUAUAUAUAUUGUAUUUGGGGGAAUUGUAGAGUUUCUUGUUAUUAUUUUCAUAAUGCUAAUGGGUCCCAUAUAUAGAUUGUGACAUCUGUUCGUAGAUCUACCUUUUCUAUGUUUUCUUUUUAAUUUUUUUUUUCCCCCCGAACUUUGUCUUCUUGGAUUCGAUGUCUGUAAUCAGUGAACUCUGAAUUAUCAUUUUCCUUAUUUAUGAUGGUUUUCUAUCUUCUGCAAGUCUGUAAUCAGUGAACUCUGAAUUAUCGUUUUCCUUAUUUUUGAUGGUCAUCUGUCUUCUGCCUUCUGUGGUGUCAAAAAAUCAUAAGUUUGAUUCACUGUAGGAUUUUGAAGGAUUUUGUGGUCCGCUGGUCGGAUUUUCUUCCCAUUCUGGGAUACUUCUACUUCCUGAUUUGAUUUUGAGAAAAACAGGUAGUUUGUGAUCAUAUUUUGUAAAAAAAAAAGAGGAAAAAAGAAGAUCCUUAUAGCUCUGUAUUUUGUGUUUGUAUUGUCCUUUGCAGGUAUAAGUAGUACUAGCCAGCACUGUGCAACUGAAUAUUUUUGGAAUUUUAUAUUAAUUCUGUCGUAAGGGAGUGUUUUUUAAGUAAACAGCUUUAGCUUGGUACUUUUUUGAACAGAUUUACUUGAAAUGUAUUUCUGUAAAAGCUCCAAUUGAGCCUAACAAUUUUUUCUACUUGUAUAGUUUAUUUCCUAAGCCCAGUAUUUAAGAUAACAGGUGGCAACUUUGCCCUUCACCUCCAGACUCGGAUCUAUUUCCUUCUCUAGUCUCUUCGGAAAUAAAAAUUUCCUAUCUAGCCAACUUUUAAAAAAUAUUCUUAACCUAGCAUCAUUUUUAUAGAUUAGGAAAAAAGAGAUAAAUUAAUAUCUUUUUAAUAUAUAUUAAUAUGUUAAGUGGGUGGAGAUUAAUUUUUUCUCUCUCCUCUCCUAUUUCCCGAGAUUCCUUCUCACUCUCUUUCUCUCUCCUCCCCAACCCCAAACAACUCCUACCCUCUUCUCCUCCCUCUCUCCUCUCUUCUCCUCUUUGGGAGGGACCCCUCCCCCUUAGCCGCAGUAAGGGGUUGGGUAAUCCCCCAGCUCGCCGUUCGGAAAGCCAGCCCUUUCGUGUUCGCUUGAAAUGAGCUUCGAGAUUCGAAUCCGCCUUCGUUUUAGUAAUACGAUUUCGAAAUAUGAAGGCCCUUGAAAAUUUUUUUCGGCCCUCGUUUAUAAACAAGCCGAACAACGAGCUGGGUUUAGCUCGCUCGUGUUUCGGCCUCGAUAACCAGCUCCGAAUGGCAUAUAUUUUUAAUUUAAUUUUUAUAAUAAUUUUAAUUUUUAAUUUAAAUUUUUUAUAUACUAUAUACAUAAAUUAAUUUAUAUAUAUAUAAAUAUAAUAUAUAUAUAAAUAUUUUUAUUAAUUAAAUUUUAAGUAAAAUAAAAAUAUAAUUGGAGCUUCAAAUUUUAAAAAGAAACCCCAUUUUAUAUAAUAAAUUUUUUUGUUCAAACUGUUAGAUCAAAAUCUAAUGAUAAGAAAAUUUUUUAUAAAUUUAUAUAUAUUAUCUAGUCUUUUUUUUUAACUAAAAUUUUUGUUUCUUGGCUAAGCUCGUAAGCUAAGCCUCCGUGUUCCCCGGCUUGUUUUAAUUAAUGAGUCCGAAACAGAAGCCUGAAAUUUUUCGGCUCGAUACUUUAACGAGCCAACUCGUGUUCGGCUCGGUUACACCCCUACCUAGCAGCACCCUUUCUUCUCUCUCCCCACCAACACACAGAUGUGUGUACACACACUCCCCCCCCAACUCUCUCUCCCUCAUCAAUAUUUAAUAAUAAUUAAAUUUUAUUAUAAUAUUAAUAAAAAAUUAUUUAUUAAUAAUAAUAAAUAGUAUUAUUACUAAAUUAUAAUUUUUUAUUAUUACUACUAUUAUUAUUACUAGUACUUAAUUUGACUAUAUAUAUAUGACAUUAUUAAACAUCCGAUAAAAAUACACACUCAAAAUAUAAUAUGAUUAUAUAUUACAUAAAAAUAAAGGUGAUAUAACUAUACAUUAGAUAUGAUAUAAAGUUGAUUAUAGUUGACAUAUGACUUGACUACACAUGUGAUAUGAUAUAAGAAUUAUAUGAAUAUACAUUAUAUAAAAAUAAAGGUGAUAUAACUACACAUUAGAUAUGAUAUAAAGUUGACUACAUUUAUAUAAAAUUUGACUUGACUACACACUGAUUUAAUUAUAGAACUGACAUGACUAUAUUUAAUAUAAAGUUGAUUAUUUUAAAAUUAAUUAUAGAACCGACAUGACUAUAUUUGAUAUAAAGUUGAUUAUUUUGAGAUAACAUUUGAUUUGACUACACAUUUGAUAUGAAAUAAGAAUAAUACGAUUAUACAUUACGCAAAAAUAAAAGUGAUACAACAAUACAUUAGAUAUGAUAUAAAGUUGACUAUACUUAAUAUAAAAUUUGAUUUGACUACACACUGGAUUUGAUCGUAGAACUGACAUGACUAUAUUUGAUAUAAAGUUGAUUAUUUUGAAAUAAUAUUUGACUUAGACUACACAUUUGAUAUGAAAUAAGAAUAAUACGACUAUAAAUUAUGCAAAAAUAAAAGUGAUAUAACUAUACAUUAGAUAUGAUGUAAAGUUGACUAUACCUGAUAUAAAAUUUAGCUUGAUUGCAUACUGGAUUUAAUCAUAGAACUGACAUGACUAUAAUUGGUAUAAAGUUGAUUAUUUUGAGAUAACAUUUGACUUAACUACAUAUUUGAUAUGAAAUAAGAAUAAUACGACUAUACAUUAUUCAAAAAUAAAAGUGAUAUAACUAUACAUUAGAUAUGAUAUAAAGUUGACUAUACUUGAUAUAAAAUUUAACUUGACUACACACUGGAUUUAAUCAUAGUUGACUAUACUUGAUAUAAAGUUUGAUUUGACUACACACUGGAUUUGAUCGUAGAACUGACAUGACUAUAUUUGAUAUAACGUUGAAUAUUUUGAAAUAACAUUUGACUUAGACUAUACAUUUGAUAUAAAAUAAGAAUAAUACAACUAUACAUUAUGUAAAAAUAAAAGUGAUAUAACUAUACAUUAUAUAUGAUAUAAAGUUAACUAUACCUGAUAUAAAAUAUAACUUGACUGCACACUUGAUUUAAUCAUAGAACUAACAUGACUAUAUUUGAUAUAAAGUUGAUUAUUUUGAAAUAACAUUUGACUUGAUUAUACAUUUGAUAUGAAAUAAGAAUAAUACGACUAUACAUUAUGCAAAAAUAAAAGUGAUAUAACUAUACAUUAGAUAUGAUAUAAAGUUGACUAUACUUGAUAUAAAAUUUAACUUGACUAUACACUGGAUUUAAUUAUAGAAUGACAUGACUAUAUUUGAUAUAAAGUUGAUUAUUUUGAAAAAACAUUUGACUUGACUACACAUUUGAUAUGAAAUAAGGAUAAUACGACUAUACAUUAUGCAAAAAUAAAAGUGAUAUAACUAUACAUUAGAUAUGAUAUAAAGUUGACUAUACUUGAUAUAAAAUUUGACUUGACUAGACACUUGAUUUGAUCAUAGAACUGACAUGAUUAUAUUUACAUAAAGUUGACUACACUUGAUAUAAAUUUAAAUUGACUACACAAUUGACAUGAUUGUAGAGCUGAUAUGGCUAUACAUUGCAUAAAACUCUAGAAAUACUAUGACUAUAACUUAUUUUAAUAUUUAAAAAAUUAAACUUCGCUAUAAAUAGUUGAACUUUGUUAAUUCCAACCUCACUCUCAUUCUUCCCUUCUUGAUACACUAUAGAUCGAUAUACUCAUUUCUCUUCCACUUCUCUAAUUUUCAUUACAUAUCUUAUUUAUAUAAUCUAAAGGGUUUCAAAAGUACUAUUUGCUCUAGAUUAGAUUCGUGAAGACCAUUUGUGCUUUUCAGAAAUUUCCUAAGAAGAUCUUUUCUACACAUUUGGUAUUAUUUUGUUGGUAUGUUUUUUAAUUUCAUAAUUUAUUUUUAAAUAAAUUAUGCUAAUUUUUGGGUACAAUUUAUCUUAUAUCGAUUUAUUUCAAAAUAGAAAAUUUUCAUAUGGCGCAUCUACCAAUUCCAAUCUUCUUAUAUUUUGAUGGAAAUAUUGUGCAUGGUCCCGAAGGAGUUGAUUAUAGUGGUCCUGAUCCAAAAACUAUUUGGAUUUCUCGUGCUUCAAGUUUUAAUGCAUUAAAAUAUGGAAUUUAUAUAUAGGCAAUCCGAAUGGGAUCAAGAUUGUUUUAAUAUAAAAAUUAAUGGGAGAUAUCAGGUUGGUGGGAGAAAUAGACUUUAUUUCAUGCUCAUUCCUAUCAUCGAUGACUCUUCUUUGCAUGGCUUUAUUGUAACGAUUCAAACAAAACAUGCGUGCAGGAGUGCUGUCCAACUAUAUCUUGAGAAAAUUAGCAAGACGCACUGAGGUAGGAAAGGAAAUAUUUAAACAUGUUUUUUGGGCAUUUGGCGCAUCAAUUGAAGGUUUUAAAUAUUGUAGACCGGUGAUUAGUUGUGAGGACUGAGAUUUUUGCGGGGCAGAUAAAUCCUUUGUUGAUGAUGUUUUUGUGUGAAAUUUAAUUACAUAAACAUUCGUCAAGUUUCAGAAGAAAACGAUUUAGGAUGGCACUACUAUAGGUACAAGAUUUAGUGGCGACAAAUGUCGCCACCAUUGCCAAAAUUGUCGUCACGAAAAACGUUUUGGCAGAGACAAUUUGUCGCUGCAUGCCGCCGCCUAAAACCCCGUCAGUAAAACUAUUUGGUGGCAACAAUUUGUCGCCACGAAAAGUUAGAUAAUUAGCGGCGACAUACGGUCGCCACGAAAAGUUAGAUAAUUAGCGGCGACAUGGUGUCGCCGCUAAAACCCCGUCGAACCCGGACCGGAAUAUUUGGUGGCGACAAUUUGUCGCCGCUAAAAGUUAGAUAAUUAGGGGCGACAUACUGUCGCCGCGAAGUUUUAUGGUGGCGACUAUUGUCGCCACCAUUUUUCUGAUAUAAAAUUAAGUUUUUUUAAAAAAUAAUUGAUAGUAAUAGAUAUUAUUGAUUUAGUAUAAAUUGCUAAAAAAUAACCUAUAGUUAUAAAAAUUUCUCAUUCUUAAAUUUUAACCUUUAAUUUCAAUUUAAUCCUCUCAAAACCAAAUUAAACCCAAGCACUAUGGCUCAAACACCUUUUAACCAAUAUAUAUUAGAUAUACCUACACUUGAAAAACAUACCUACACUAGAGAUGAACCUCAAUUUGAACAAGUAAUGAUCCAAGAAAAGAAAACGUCGAUACUAUUGCCGAAAGGAAUAGCAUGUAUUGGCAACAUUAUGAUAACUUCUUCCUAAACUACACCUCUUUCAGCAUCAUUCACGUAAUGCACUUUGUCAAAAUAUAACCUGUUCACUUAAUACAAACUAAGAUCAAAAGAGCAAAUUCCUUCACUUUUAAAGUCUUAAAAGCUACUGGGCUAACAGCAGAAAUUCCAGUAAUAGUCAAAUAACAUACCCAUUCAAUGUUGCGAAUAAUAUCAGCACCUCGGUAAAGCAUCAACCUUAAAGUGAAUACUAACUCCGGUUUUCCGGAGAGGCCAAUUAGUGGAGAUGGUUUCUGGUGCGUAUUGGACUCCGUUCAUAGUGAUCCAAUAGCUCGUUUUCGAUGGUUCGACUAUCCUGGACCCAAUGGAACUGGCAGAAUUGGGUUUUAAUGCACGGUUUUCAAGAAAAAGGGGGUUUAAUGGAUUUACACAUAUAUAUAUAUAUAUAUGUGUGGUUUUGGGAGAAAUUGGAGGGUGGAUGGGUUUCAUCGCAAAUUGUCGAUCAUACCGGGUGAAACAAAAUUGUGAAUUCGUUGCCCCAAUCGUGCUGAACGCGCUAGCGCGAUCCAAUCGAAAAUCUGACUGACAAAUCUCCAGGAAUCGCAUAAAGUUCGCUGAGGGGCCGAAAUUGGCAAAACAGAAAAUCUACGAAAAAGCCCAAUAUUUUAUGUACCGUUUCGUGCGAUUUUGAACGUCGAGGUGCGUACGUGCGAAAUACACGCGCUGGGAGGGACAUGGCUGAAAACAUUCAUCUUUGGAGGACUCCUCUGCAAAACGACACCUAGUAUAUAAGUAGGUGUUAGGGUUUCAUGCACCCUAGUAGCCACCUAGCUGAGCUGGCCCUCUAGCCAUCACCAGCACCCCCUCCCGCCCUAGCCGAGCUCACACCCCGGCUGCCAACGAGCGACUGCGGCAGUCGAAAAAGUCAGGUUUGCUUCUCCUCCACAAUCCUCUCCACCAAACCACCUCCUCAUCUCUGCCGUGGACCACCCAGGAUCAUCCACAGCCUUGGGCCCCCUCCCUCGGCCGUGGCCUGACCUCCGGCGCUGUCCCCGCCGACCCCCGCCGUCUGCACGCACCGUUGUCACCGCCUGGGCGACCCGCGGCCAGCUAAGGUCUGCUCGGGCCGAGCGCCGCCGCAGCCCUCCUGGGACCCUCCGCAUGCCGUCGUCGCCGUCCCUGCGAGUCACCGACCGCCGCCUAGCUCCCUGCGGCCGCCCAGACUCAGCGCGGGCCGAGCCUGGGUCUGCACCGUCCCUGCGCGCCGCCGCCACCCUCGGUCGGCGGCGUCGCCCUCCCUCGGCCUCCGACGUCAGGUCACCGUCGCCCCGGCGCUCCCCUAGCCGUCGCUCGACCGCCGUUGCUCCUUGAGCUCAAGCUGAGCCACACGGGCUCGUGCCGCUCCAUCGCGCCACCGGUCGCCUCCCGUCGCCGGACAGCGCGUGCCCAGGCCCCCUCCGACCGGCCGCAACCUCCCCCUGCCGGCGCGGCCGCUGUCCGGCGACGCCCCUCCCCCUACUGGUUCUGGUAAGCUUAAAUUAGUGAUUUCUGCACACUGUUUCGGGUUUCGGUCGCUAUUCCGGCGAUCCGAGGGUACCCGGACACUCCCGGAAGUGAGCAUGAUGAUCCCUGAUUUGUGCCGAACAUUGUGCUCACCUCUUUUGGGGUCAGCGAAGCCCCAAUUUGCGUGCUAAGCACUGUUUAGGCACUGUGUGCGCUGUUCGCUGAAGUUCGCGUCGCUCCUGAGCUCUCCACAGUGGUCGGCCAAGCUCCGAAGCGCGAGCACGGCCUCCGGCACAUCAAGACCUGUCAGCGGGUGUCUCGGCUAGGCUCGAAUGUCUUCGGUUUGUGCUGUCGAGCUGUAAAACCCUAUAAAAUCACAUAAAAUGAUGUGAUUUUAUGUAGUCGGAGGGGCUUAUUUGCAAAUACAUUUCGUGGCUGCUGUGGGCAGUGUGUGCAGGCAGCGGGUGACCUCUGGACUGGUUGUCCAAGGUCCCAGGCCUUUUCGAAAAUCGGAUGUAGAUUUUCGAUGCGUUUUUGCGAUGAAAUCCGCUGACGGAAUGCGAUUUCGGUUCGAAAUUCUUCCGACGAUGCCUCACGGUAUAUUAUGUUGUCGCUGAGACUUGUUGGCUUGUCACCCACAUCGUUUCUAGGGUUUGAAAAUGACGGGUGAGCGACGGUGGGUUCCGGUGUCGAAAUUGACACUUUCGGGAACUGGAAUCGGAAUAAUUAUCCGACGAUAAUUGUUUCGAUGUGAGGAUAUGUGUUUACUGCCAAGUCACACAAAUUAUUGUGUUCAGUGGCAGCAGGUAACUCGUGGCACGAGUCGGUGAGUUCUGGGACAGUUCGUGGGUUCCGGCGGAGUCCCGGUGCAAUUUUCGGGACUUCAUGCGAGUUACGGUAAUCGAUUUUGGAAAAUCGAUUCUCGUGGGGUUUACUGGUGGGGAUUGUGAGUUAGUGGUUCAUAUUCGUGGGUUGGAUUCUAACCUGGUGGACCCUUCGUAGGUCCAGUUGAUGUUCUUCCACAGUCGGGAGACCAGUGCUACGUACAUACAGGUGGGUACUUCGACCCGAAGUCGGUACAGUGGUGUACGCUCGGUGACAUAUUCUUACCCCUUUUUUCUGUUAUUAUCCUGUAUAUACGUUAUGUUGAGCCUAGCACCUUUGUUAUUCCUGGUAUGCUCUACUUGGUUGUUUUCAUGUCUAGCAUCAUGAGUAGGAGUAGAGCAGGUUUAUGAUUACAUGUGACAUUCGUGACCUAGUCGGUCAGUUUUUGUAUCUCGUACUGUGACUGGCCUAUUCAGUCGAUUCACUGCAUCUGUUAUUGUGAUCUACUUGGUCGGUUAGACUACUUGGUGACCUUCACGGUCAGUAUACCCUGAGGGGUUGGAUUGUCGGCUAGUUGCCGAUGUUUGGCUAUUGAGCAUAUCAGCAUUGAUCGCCACUGCUAGUAGGCAAUUCACGAACACCAACGGUCUGAUCCACCGCAAGAGGGUGUUCUUUUCCGGAAAAGUGGUUGGGAAUGCCAACCCGUGAGUCCAAGAGUUUAUGUUGGGGUUAUAUACUUUCACACCUAAGAGCUUAUGCUGGGGUCAUUUAUAGAUUAGAGCAAGUGUGGCACAGGCUUGAGGUGUGUAAAUCAACAUGGCAGAUUUCUAAUUGGACUAGUCGUCCAGUUGAUACAUGCAUAUAGUAGCAGUAGUGAUUUAUAUAUAUGUCCCAUUUCUUUGUUUAUUAUUGUUACUGUAUUACCGUUAUCUAUAGCUUUGUUUAUCCUCCUUGACUGAUGAGUACCCCUCGCCCUUGUCGGCUUGCGGUACCUUUUUGGGAAGGCCCCUUACUUUACCUCUGGGGGUAGGAAAAUCAUGAUCGGGAUAGCGGACGCAAAGCUAUUGAACUUGGGUAUGGUCUUUUGUUGAUAUGGAUCACCCCUUCUUCUUGCGCCAAAGAUCUUACCAUUUCCGAAGGAACUGGAGCUACAUUUCUUUUCAAUUUCCAUUCAAGAGUUCCUAUGUGUUUCCACGCCCUUUUUUUGAGACCUCGAAAAAUGAAAUGGACAAAUUCCUUUUCUUAGGAACACAUACAAGAAAAAGGAUAAUGUAACCCUACCAUUAACUACUUCAUUUUCAUUUAUGAAUUUCAUAGUAAUAGAAAUACAUGUCCUAGCGAGACAGAAUUUGUAACUUGCUAUCUCUUUUGACUUUGGAAUAAAUUCUCUUUAUCAAUAUACUGUUUCUUCUACACAUCCGCCUACAAUCCAUAAUAAAGAAUAAUUAGGAUUCUGAAAAAAAAAGAAAAAAUCAAUGGUUCACUCACAGGAGAACCCACUCUUUCCCGCAUUAGGCACUAAUUCAUUUUUAACGUCUAAUUAGAUCGGGUAAUCAUUCCAAUUAAGAACAUAAGCUCGUUGCUUUUUAUUUUACCAAAAUUGGAGCCAUAGAGCUCUAUCCAUUUAUUCACUAGACCCAAUUUGUCCCCUUCCUAAAAUCAAAACAAUCUUUUGGAACUGUAACGAUCCGGUAAGGAUAAACUCAAAGUUCUACUUUAACUUUGACUUUCAUUUCAAAUUAAAUAAAUUAAUAAAAUCAAAAUUAAAUAAAAUANGGUUUUUACGAUCCGAUAAAGAAUCAAACUUAUUUAAACGUGGAAGGGGAGACAUGUGUACAUGUUCUCACCCCCCACCCUCUUUCAGGUGACGUCGCAGGUCCGAGUGGGGACGAUUCGUGAGGCAUGCAGCUUAGCAUUCGAUAUAGUUAUCGGCCCGUCGUUUAGUUAAAUUCUCAAACUCGUCUUUUAAAUAAUAAUUGACUUAGUAUUUAUGGUUCAGUGGUUUCCUUUAUUUGAAUAAUUGAGAUUUUGUGAAUGUAAUAAAGGAUUUAUGGAUUUCUUACGAAAUAGAAAUGGUUUUCUACCCCUCGUGGUAGCGCGUUUUUAAAGAAAAAAGUUUCCGGGUGGGAAACGGUUUUAAAAAGAUUUCUUGGUUUCAUGACUUAGUGUUUCAAAAUGGGUUUCCGGGUAGGAAACAUUUUAAACUAAUAGAUGUGGAUAUAUGAAUAUUUGUGAUGAAAUGAAUGUGGAUGUGAAUGGUGAAUGUAUAUGGAUAUGCAUAUGUGUGUGGUUGUAUCUUGUACUUGUGCGAACCGUGCAAAUAUAGGGGAGACUCUGUCUGUGUGAACAGUGGACUCCCUGUAUUUGUGACGGAUUUGGCAUACCCUGAGGGUCAAGGUUUUCAAAAAAAAAAAAAAAAUUGGGCACUUCCGCAUUGGGUUCUUAACUCAAAAAGGGACCCCGGGGCGUGACAUUAGUAUAGACGGCACAUUUUUAUAUCGAAAAUAUAAACGCACAAUGCUUAUUGCUGUUGCCCCUGAUGCCAAUGACCAAUUAUUUCCACUUGCUUUUGCGGCGGUUGAAAGAGAAAAUAAUAGCAGUUGGGGAUGGUUUAUGGCUUGCAUCAGAGAGUAUAUUACUGAUCGUUAUGAAUUAUGUGUUAUUUCUUAUCGUCAUUCAGGUAUAAUGAAUACAAUGAACGAUCAAUACAAUGGUUGGAUAGAGCCAUUUGCUUAUCAUCGUUUUUGUAUGAGACACUUUGCCACUAAUUUCUAUAGUCAUUUUCGUGACAAGUCAUUGGUGAACAAACUUAAAACAAUUACUAUACAAAGACAGAUCCGAAAGUUUGAGAAGUGUCUAAGGGAGCUGAUACAAGUGAAACCAGAUGCUGGAGAGUGGAUUAAUAGUCAACCUCGUGACAAGUGGGCGCUUACAUAUGAUGGAGGUCGUCGGUAUGGUAUGAUGACCACAAACUCAUCUGAAAUUUUCAAUAGUGUUCUUAAAGGAGUUCGCAAUUUACCAAUAACAGCAAUUGUUGAACUUACUUUUUAUCACGUGAAUAACUAUUUCAUCGAAAGACGAAAAGUUUGCAGAGAGACUUACUGGAGAAGGGCAAAAGUGGAGUCCGAAAAUUCAAAAUAUUCUUGAUGAAAAGCGAGAAAAAGCAAAUGAUCAUAUACCAACAAUGUUCCAUCAUAGGCCUGGAGUAUACCAAAUUCAGACAAAAACUGAUUACAUAUGCGGGCGUCGAAAAAGGAGGAAAAACUCAAAUUGUUGACUUAGGGAAUCGAAGUUGUUCAUGUCAUAAGUUAUAAAUUUAUCAUUACCCUUGCUCUCAUAUUUUGGCAGCCUGUUCUACACGUGCAAUAGACUACCAAUCUUUUGUUGAUAAAUAUUACUCUGUUGAGGCACUAACAAUGAGAUGGUGUCCUAGAUUUAAUCCCGUAUGAGAUAAGGAUUACUGGCAACCAUAUUCUGGUUCUAUUUUAAUUCCAAACGAGUCUAUGCGGAGGUCAAAGAAGGGUCGUCCAAAAUUAACGCGGAUUCGUAAUGAUAUGGACAUAAGAGAGAAAAAAACGGAUUAUAUAUGUGGAAUUUGCAAACAGAAAGGACAUAAUAGGCGAAAAUGCCCCAGCCGAAAUCAAUCAGGUGAUAUCAAGUAUUGCUAUAUUACUUCAUAUAUUACUUAAAAAUAUAGUUCAUAACAUUUUUUUUUAUAUAGAUACUUCACAAUAAUAUGAAACUGUCACGCCCCGAGCCCCGCCUAUUUGGUCGGGUUCGGGCACGCCGACAGACCGCCGAACGGACAGAGUUUCCCCUAUACGUCCUAGGCGUCGCAAUCAAUACAAAACAAGAAGUUCCAACCAGGAACAGAAACGAUUUUCAUCGGGAGCGAGAGAUGACAUAGAAGAUCAUAAACACCAAGCAGCUGAAAGAAUUAAGGAUGAUUUAAAUUAAGUGAAUGUAAUAUGAUUUUAUGUAUGAACACUUAAUGUUUUUGUAUGACUGUAUUUUUUAUUUUCAAUGUCUAUUAAACACUUAAUUUUUGUGUACUUAGCUUAUUAUUUUUAAUAUCUAAUUUAGUUAUUUUAAUAUAUAUGAAGAAAUCAUCUAGUAAUAAUAUGAUAUAUGAUUACUCAUUAUUAUUAUUGUUAUUAUUAAUAAUUAAUUAUUAAUUAUUAACUAUAACUAUUUGAUUACUAUUGACUUGUAUAAUCAAACUAAGUACUAGUAAUAAUAAUAGUAGUAAUAAUAAAAAAUAAUAAUUUAGUAAUAAUAUAUUUAUUGUUAUUAAUAAAUAAUUUUUUUAUUAAUAUUAUAAUAAAAAUUAAUUAUUAUUAAAUAUUGAAGAGAGAGAGUGUGUGUGUGUGUGUGGGUUAGGGAUGUCAAUGGGUAUGAAUACUCGAAAUUUUAUCCUAACCCGAACCCGAAUGAAACAGAUAUAUCCGAUACUAAAUAGAUAUAGAUUCGGAUAUGGAUAUCAAAAAUAGAAACCCGAUAGAUAUGAAUUCGGAUAUGGAUUUUGACUGUACCCGACCCGAUCCCGAACCCGACCCGAACCCGACCUGAACCCGAAUUUAUUUUAUAUUAUAUUAUAUUAUAUUAUAUUAUAUUAUAUUUUAUAUAUAUAUAUAUAUAUAAAUUUGAUGUCAUAUUUGAAUUUGUAUUUUAAAAAUUUAGAUUUAAUAUAAUAAAUUUUGAAAUAUUGAAAAAAGAAAUAAUUGUUUUGGGUUCAAAUUUUCGGGUUCAGGUUUGGGUUUGGGUUUUGGAUUUUUGGUCGGGUUCGGGUUUGGAUAUGGAUUUUUAAAAUCCGUUGGGUUCGGAUUCGGGUUUGGGUUUCGAGUUUGGAGUUGGGUUCGGGUUUGGGUUUUUGAAAAUCCGCCCCGAAUCUGAUCCGUUGACAUCUCUAGUGUGGGUGGGGAGAGAGAGAGAGAGAGUGUGUGUGUGUGUGUGUGUAUGUGCAUGUGUGUGUUGGUGGGGAGAGAGGAGAGAGGGUGCUGCUGCUAGGGAGGAGUCUCAGAGAGAGAAAGAGAGAGAUAGAGGUGUAGGGUUGGGGAGGAGAGAGAAAGAGAAUGACAAGGGAUCUCGGGAAAUGAGAGACGAAAGAGAAAAAGAUAAUCUCCACCCACUUAAUAUAUUAAUAUAUAUUAAGGGCGUGUUUGGUUUACUUCUUUUUUACCAUAGAAUCGAAAUGGGAAUGAGUGAAUCCGUUUGUAGGUGUUUGGUACGUGGGAGUCCCAUUCCGAUUUUGAUUCCAGAGUAGAAUGGGAAUCGCUCAAUCACCCCUUUUUUCAAUCCGGCUUAGAAGGCCGGAUUGGAAGUUGAAUCCGAACGGAAUGGAUAUUUAUUCGGAUUAAAUUUAUUUUUUUAAUUUUUUUAAUUAAAAUAUGAGUUAAAAUUUAAAAAUUAAAUAUAUAAUUUUAAAUUUUAAUUUGAACUUAAAUUAAAAAUUAAAAUUUAAUCAAGUAUUUCGAAUCUAACUUAUGAAUUUGAAUUUAAAUUAAAUUUUAAUUUAUAUAAAGUUCAUUCAAAUUUUAUUUCAAACUUAAAUUAAAUUUGUGAAUUCAAAUUAAAAUUUAAAUUAUAAUUUUAAGUUUGAAUUUGAAUAAAUCAAAAUUUAGUUUCAUAUUUUGAAUUAUCCACUCAACUUCAAAGUUUAAUUUUUUUAAAAAAAUAGAUUUAAAAUGUUGACAUUAUUUUAAAAUUUUGAUGUAAAUUUUUAAUAUUUAAUAUUUAAUUUGAAUUUAAAUUAAUAUAUUAUAAAGAUAAUGUUAGUAUAUUAAUUUGAUUAUGUUUUUAUAUCCAUCUGAACCAAACACCGACAAUUGGAAUGAUUUAUUCCGAUUCCGAUUCAGGUGAUGAACCAAACAGAAAUAGAUAAUGAGUCAUUCCGAUUCCGAUUCCAGCUUAUUUUGAUUUCGAUUCCGAUUUUGACUCCGACUUCGAACCAAACACGCCCUAAAGGUAUUAAUUUAUCUCUUUUUCCUUAAUCUAUAAAAAUGAGGCUAGAUUAGGAAUAUACCACUGUGACACCCCACUUCCUAAGGGGUCAUCAAUCCUAGUACACCCCACUUCCUAGGGGGUCAUCAAUUCUAGUGCUACUCUAGUCCUAGCACGUUUAACUUUCUAGGAGUAAAAUUUAUUAUUUGCAUGCACUUAAUCUAUAUCUGUAAACUAUAAAUCACAUUGGUCCUUCAUCCAUCUUAAACUUCUAACUCAAUUGUCAAAUUUUUAAAUAGAGAAGGAAUUAUAACUCAAUAAGUUGUAGAAAUUAAAAUAUGGGAUGAAAUAAAGAAUCAAUAAGAGUUGAUAAAGACAAGGUACAUAAAUGAAUAGAUGCACUUCAAUGUAGACAAAAAUUCAUCAAUUUGUCAUAUAAUAGUAUGUUGGUAUAUAUAUUCAAAAAAUAGAGGUUAGGUACAAAAUAAUAUAAAAAAGUGUCGACGAGUCGAUCAAGCCGAGGCAUGAAUAUCUCGCCCUCUUUAAGGAGAUUCAACCCCUAGGUGGUUGGCAAAGCCUUUGAAUCGAUACAGUAAAACACUUACUUAUCCCCUCCAGGAUAUAACGACUCCACCCUCGUCGUGUGGCUUCACUAACUCUGCACAAGUAGAUGAGCUCAAAGCUCCACAAAAAAAACACAUUUCUUUAGCCUUUUCUCUCUCGCAAGUAUAAAAAAAAAUAAUUUUUUUUUUCAAUUUUCUUUUUGUUAUCUUUUUUGAGUGAGUAGAAAUGAAUAGAGAAGCCCACUAUAUAUAGGACUACAAAUCUACUUCAUUUUUAAUAAUAAAAAUGUUACAACAUUCCCCCACUCAUUUUUAUUAUUAAAAAUAUAUGAGUGUUUGAUAGCCAAAGAGGGACCGUUAUACAUAAUGAAGGUGUGCUCUGUAUUGAACCUUCACUUAGUAAAACAGUAAUCUCUACUCCAGAGCGAGAGUGGUCUUAGACUUGAUGUCACGCCCCAUGCCCCGCCUAUUUGGUCGAGUUCGGGCACGCCAACAGACCGCCGAACGGACAGAGUUUCCCCUGUACGUCGUAGGCGUCACAAUCCAUACAAUACAAGAGGUUCCAACUAAGAACAGUAUUCAAGCAGAGAUUGUACAAGGAAGGUAUCGAAAACAUAAAUCCUAUGCUAUUACAAGCAUUCAUCUCACAUUCAAUUUUUACAUAUUAUAUUUAACCUCCAAAUACAAUCCAACUAUUACAAGAUUAUUACAAAUUUGUUUCAUUCAUUUCUAUACCCCUAGUUAGACCGACUUGGGGUACCGUUAUCUCUGGUCUCGGUGGUAGGGCACUAUCUACGGAGCUACGCCCUUUCCUCGCGCCGCCGCGCCGCUCGUGUGUGAACCUGAAAUCCCCCAAAACAACGUGGGGUGAGAACCAUUGUCCAUAGUUCCCAGUGAGUACGGCCACCCAAGGGAGAAGCUCAACCCACCAGAUCUAAAGGAGGCACUGCAAUCAUGUUAGUUCAACAGAUAUCCACAGAUAUUUACGCAAUAUUAAAUACAUGAUUAUGCCUCACAACAUGCAACAUGCAAAUUAUGCAACUAAUGCAACCAACUAGGUAGAUCAACCGAUUCUACUUUCAAUCACGCUAUCCAUAGCUCAUAUCCACUAGCUUAUAAGGUUUCUACUACCUUAGAUUUACAGCUCAUGUUCAACUAGCUUCUAAGGUUUCUACUACCUUAGAUCCUGCCAUUUACCACUUGCUCUUAAGGUUUCAUCUACCUUAACCAAGCUAUCCACCCGACUUGGCCUCGAGUCAAUCCUACGCGGAAUACCGCGCACUCUGCUGCAACCACAGCCCACCGUGCUCCUUGACUUAGCCUGCAGGCGGCGAAAUCGUUGUACACGCCCAACAAUGGCUCAAGUCAGCCGGCGGCAUAAUCCACAAAUCAGCUAAACUAUCUGGCGGCGAAAUCGUCGCACAUGCCCCAACAAUGGUUUAGCCCCGGGCGGCGAAAUCGUCGCACAUGCCCCACACCCACUCUUGGUGUCCUACAAGUCCUGGAAUUCCGGAAUUCAUUUUCCACAUCUCAAGGGUAGUCACACACCCUAUGCUGUCGACCUAUCUAGGUUCGACCCAUCACAUCCUAGUGGCCCUACUACCACUAUAAUCACAAUCUAGAUUCAACCAUACAAGGUGUCUCUACAUAUCAUAACCUAGGUUCAAUGCCACACUAGGUUCUAUGUCAUUUCUACCUAGAUCUCGACUCUAGGUUCACUUGUUCAACCUAUGUUUCAUGACACUAGGUUCAUAUCCAACCUAUGUUUAAUAACACUAGGUUCAAUGCCAUUCGAUCUACUUGACAUCCUAGUUGUCCACAUCGAGUAUUCAUAGAUCUCAUGUUCUUGUUUUCCAAUGUUGAGUCCUCUAAUCAACCUAGAGUUAUUGACCCAAGUUCACAUUACAUGAAUCUAGCAUAUUCUACAAUAUGUCAACAUGGACAUUCAUCUAACAUAAUCCACACUAUGUCCACAUGCAUAUAUAUAAUCUUGCAUUUUUCACAAUAUGUCUACAUGCAUAUUUUAUCUAGCAUUUUCUCAUCAUGUCCACAUGCAUAUCCCAAUGGUAGGUACAUCAACUAACAUAAUAUGAUUCAUGCAUUCAUAUUAUCAUUCACAACCUACCACUAUACAUAUAUGCACCAAUAAGAACCAUACUGUCACGCCCCGAGUCCGCCUAUUUGGUCGGUUUGGGCACGCCGACAGACCGCCGAACGGACAGGAUUUUUUCUGUACCGCGAACAGAAUCUUCCCUGUACGUCCAAGGCGUCAUAAUCAAACAAUGCGCGAGGUUCCAACCAGGAACAGGAUUCAAACAAGAUUGCAUAAGAAAGGUAUCAAAAACAUACAUACAACUAAGUUAUUACAAUUAUUCAAUUCACAUAUAUUUUACAUUACAUAUUACACUUUUCAUUCUUAUUAACUUCCAAAUACAAUCCGAUUAAACAUAAUUAUUACAGCUUUAUUCUUUUCUUUUCUUUUAUAUUCCUAAGUUGUCACGCCCCGGGACCCGGCAUAGGCCCGCCCGGUGCGCGCCCAGACCCGCCAUAUGUCUACACAUAUAGGCACCGUUUGGUUUGGGAAUAGGGAUAGGGAUAGGCCCUUAUCCCCCCCCUUUAUACCCAAAUGCUAAUUUUUUACCCGAGAAUAGUAGUUCUCGGUUAUCCCCACCAACACCUCCAUUUUCUAUAUAAAACUUCCUAAUAUUUUUCUUAUCCUCGGGAACAACCCAAUUUUCAUCCAAACGCUAUUUUUCNAGGCCGACCUAUUGCUACUACCCUUGAAGGGGUGUGAUAAGGUAUUAGGAAUACAAUGGCUCAUAAAGUUAGGACCCAUACUGUGGGAUUUCGAGCAAUUACGCAUGGAAUUCUGCUGCAGGGAACAAAAGGUGGUACUUAAGGGUUUUGAGAAGGCAAGUUUGAAGGUAAUAGAAGGAAAAGAACUUAUGAAAAUGGUGUCAACAAUUACAUCUUGCUCUGCAGUGCACUUGUGUUCGAUACAUAUGGCCAUCCUGGAGGCCACGCAAGCAGAAUUGGUGAAAGCUGCAGGAUUUGGCAGCGAGGGAUUGGGUGUUCCAUUCGCAAAAAAAACUACAAUUGCUCCUCGAGGAGUACACCGACUUAUUUGCUGAACCACAAGGGCUGCCGCCAGCAAGAGCUCAGGACCAUCGGAUCCCCUUGAAGGACGGGGCAAAUCCAAUUAAUGUUAAUGUCACGCCCCGGGACCCGGCAUAGGCCCGCCCGGUGCGCGCCCAGACCCGCCAUAUGUCUACACAUAUAAGGCGUCUACACAAAAGCGGAAGAGUAAAACAUGAGAAGAUCUACAACUAGAGAUAUCAUAGCAAGUAUAUAGCUAGGUUCUAAUAUUAGGUAGAAUCAAAAGAAAAUCAUACUACUAAGCAUAAAGUAAACUGAUACAUCAUAAGUCUCAAGAUACAAAAAUAGGGUGGUCUCUAUAAUCAGGUACAAAACUCUCACAACCUCUCCAGAAGAAAACAAAAGAGAGGUGGACCACCUAACGCCAAGACCCUCGAUAGCUAACUCGAGGCGAAACUUUUCCCGCGAUCCCGAGCCUCUCCCGGAGUGGAAGGCACUGAAAGAAAACAUAAAACAGGGGGCGUGAGAACUAUAAUUUAUAAUUCCCAGUGGGCAAUUACUGACCUGCACCAAAUCGCACCACUAGGCCCCAAACGAGCAAAUAAUGAUAACAGAAAAUAUCAACAGUAAUUGAAGCAUGAAAUUAAAAUGCUACUCUACUAUGCCACAAGUAUUCUGAAUGUCAACAUGGAGUACAUCUACUCUACAUGAUCCAAUAUGUCCAAAACUUAAACAAUGUAUCAUGAUGCAACAAGUAAUGCUAUAAAGUGUGAUAUAUAUUCUAGAGCCCACUACAUAUCUAGUAUGUACUAUCAUAACAACCAAGAAUACUACAAUGUAAUAAGCGAUACUGUCAAGCAUACUCUAAGCCCAAAUGUCCAACACUAUGCCAUAGCAUAUCAAGAGUUCAACUACUAUAACCUAGCUAGUAGCGAAUGUCCACUUAUUGCUUAGUAUUCUGGUUCAAUCUCAAUCAGGAUCUACACAGGUGUAGUCCGGCUUGUGCCGCCUAAGUGCCAGUGGUAGCUCCAGCAUCCCCACUCUAGGAAUGAGUCUAUCCCUCCAGGCCCCGUAGGCUACUCGAUACCGCACGGGCGAACAUAAGUUGCGUAGGCUAACUCCGGAGUGCCGGCUUGUGGGGAGCGACCCUCACAAGCAUGUGCGUAUGAGCACAAAUGGCAAGCAAGCAUGGUCAAAACCUCAAUAGUCCAAUCGUCAUGUCUCCAACAUGAAAAUGCAACUCAACAGUCAUCAUGUCUCUAACAUGAAAAUGCACACUAGCAACCCCAGUGUCUAGUCUAUGCCUCAAGUGAAGGUUUAACCGUUCAAAAAUUUCGAUGUCAAUGACCUUAGCUUUACUAAGUCCAAAUCUCAAGGGGAAGUUUCCACAUUCACUAUGUUUAGUGCCUCUUUAUGACACUUAAACAUCGCUAUAAUCUAAGCUCAAUUGACAUUCUAUGUCUCUUUAUGACGCUAGCUUGUUCUAUCAAUAAUAGAUUAAUACACAAGCUCUCUAGCGUGUUCUCAUAUGGCUACAUGUAAGUUCUUUCCAAUGCGACUAUUAACUUGGCAUACUUCUCAUAAUAAUAGCAUGCACAUGCAAUUUGCAUAUCCAUCAAGUCUAAUGCCGCUUUAUGACAUUAGCUUGCUAAACUCUUAUCUANCUAGUCCAAGCCUAAUGCCGCUUUAUGACAUUAGCUUACUAUUUGUAUACACUCUAGCCUAUGUCACCUAAUGUCGAUAUGUCCAACCACGUCAAUCAUGCGUUCUAAGUCCAAGAGUGUAAUCUAUAUGCCAUAUGUACAAUAUGCAACAUGAUCUCAAUCAAUUGUAAGAAUGCUAACCGUAGGCCCCUAGCCCAACAUGAAAACUCUCUACUAUAUAGAGGUCAAAUAUGCAUUGUAUAUAACAUGUGCAUUUUAAGCAUCCUAAAAUUCACAAAUAAUGCAUCUAACACAAAUAUGCAUGCUUUUCAAUUUACAACAUUUAAACCAUCAACAAUGAGAUUUUCUCAUUGUGUGGCUAGGCCAAACCCACCGAACCGUCGCGUGCUCCCUCGAUUCGGCGAACGAAGUUGUCCACGAAUCUCAAAAUACCCUAAAAGUAAUGAGCGAAGGGAUACACAAGGAUUACGAACAACGAAUAGGUUAAACAUUAACCAACUCAAUGAAAGGGCCAAAACUCACCUAUGGUGGUGAAAAUCCCUCACAAGCUCCAAAUGGAAGCUAGAUCCCUUCUAAUCCAACCUAGAUAAAGGUUCUAAUAAGAUCAAUUGGACUUCAAAAGCCUCUAAUCAAAAAUCCCCAAAACAAAUCCUAAAUACCCAUUUCUAGGGUUUGUAUACAAAAAUCAUGAUCAAAAGGGAAUUAGUAAGCAACUAACCUCAAGAGAAGCUCCCAACCACCCUAGAAAUCAGCUAGGGUUGAGCUCCUACCCUUCUACAAGCUCCAAACACCAAGCCCAAACUUCUCCCAUGGAGGAAAAGCCACCAAAAUGUAAAGAGAGAGCAAAAGGAGAGUUUAAUCCUCAAAAACCCAACAUAAAUCAAAGGGAAACAAAGAGGGAGAAAAGAGAGCUCCCUUACCUUGCUCUCCCUGCCUCCAAGCUCAGGGAACACCAAAGGGGGCGUGGGGUAUGUUAUAGAGGUGCAACAAUGCAAAAACACCCCUGCAGUUCGAACUGUUCAAAAACUGCCAAAGUGUACCGGUACACAGGAAAGUGUACCGGUACACACUACGAAAAUGCAAACCCGAGGCUCGGGUUCGAAAUUCGCUGCAAGUGUACCGGUACAACCAUCAGAAGUGUACCGGUACAAAAUGUGUACCGGUACAGCCAUCGACCUGUCACCGGUUACACCUCGUGCAGAAAGCAAUCCGAGGGUAGGCUAAGUCCAGCUCUUUAGUGACCUUAGCGCUACAUAAAAUACUACAAUUCUCGGGAUUCGAACCAUAGGUCGGAAGACUGUCAACGACCCACCAGAAAAUCUGGAAAAGCUCAGGACACAGUCGAAACACUCGAACCUCGCAAUUUGCAAAGGUCCAGUGUGUUACAGUGACCCCAGCCCCCUUGGCUGCUCUCCUUGAGCUCUAAACAGGGAGAAUCAAGGUGAGUCUUCCCCUCUUGGUUUGAUCUCCAUUUUUUGGUGGUUUUUAUGGGUUUUGAUCUCUUUCAUUCUCUCCUUUUUGCUUUUUGUGGGUUUUCCACCAUUGGAGAAGCUUGAGAUCUUGGUUGGAGCUUGUUUGGAGAUCAACCUUCAACCCUAGAGGACUUGGAGCUUGGUUUUGAGCAACUUGUGAGGUUAGUAAACCUAAUCUCCCAUUUGGAUUAAGUUUUGAUGGUUUCUUUUGAAUGAAACCCUAGAUUUUGGAUUCUAGGGCUAGAAUUGAGGAUUUUUUAUUUGUAGCUUCUAGAACCAAAUUGAUUGGUUUAGAACUUUGAUUUAGGUUGGAUUUGAAGGAAUCUAACUCCCUUUUGGAGUUCGUGGGGGAUUCCUUAGCAUUCGGUGAGUUUUCUCCAACCUAGCUAGAGAAGCUUAAUGUUUGAGCUUAGCUUUGUUCGUAAGCCUUAUUUGACACUUGUUCCUACAUCCUUAGGGUACUAGAAGACUAGAAAACACCCUCGUUGGAGCAAACGAGGAGUUACGUUGUCAUCGAUGGGUUUGGCUUCUUUGACAUAGGGGGAAAAUGCCCCCUACGUGGUUAAACGUUUUCGUAUACCAUAAAUGCAUGCAUAUUUAUGUUGAGUAGAAUUAUUAUGAAUUUUUGGAUGCUUAAAACGCCACUAUUAUGUGUAAUGAAAAUUUCACUCUAUGUAGUAGAGCCAUAGGAAUGACAUACAUGCAUGAGCUAUGUAAUCUGUAAUAGCAACUUGAAAAUAUGUCUCUUAUGUGGGGAAAUGACUAGAAUCAUGCAAUCUUAAGCAUAAUUGCCAUGUUAUGACUUAGUGAGCAAAAGUGUCAUAAAGGGGCACUUGAACUAGAAAACCGUUGAACUGCAACACAGAGACAUAAUGUUAGGCCAUUGUACAUCUGCUAUAUAUUCCAUGUAGAGACAUGAUGACAUAGAGAUAGACCUUUGGGACAUUCGAUACAUUCCAUGUUAUUAGACAUGAGGACUUGGUACUUGUGACAGGACAUAUGACUACUUGCCAUUGUGCUCAUUCGCACAUACUUGUGAAGGUCGCUCCCUACAAGCCGGCACUCCGGAGAUGGCCAUUGCGAUUUAUAUUCGCCGUGCGGGAUUGGGCGCCAAAGUGGAUUGCCAUGGGCCAGGCUCAUUCCUAGGGUGGGGAUGAUGACUACCACGGGGCCACUAGGCUCGGCAUCGGCCAGACAGCCUGCGGGUGGGUCUCAGGGCCAUAGACAGCCUUUGGGUGGGUCUCUUCAGAUUUGACUUUGAGUAUCCACUAUGACAUGUGGACAGAUGAUGACUUAGUAUAUUGACUGGACAUCGACUAGAAUAGUAAACAAUGAUAUCUUUACUAAUUGUAUUGAGGACAUCGCAUUGGUUGCAUACCUAUGGGUAUUCAUGUAUACACAUCCAUGUACAUUUAUGUUAUAGUUGCUUAUUAUAAUGCCUAUCAUGCUAAGUAGAAACAUCUGGUUAUAGUAAGUUACACUUUUACUUACCUUUCGCUUUAUUGCUUUUAUAGCUACUGACCACUUUCUCUGUAGCUUUGGGCCUUGUGGUGCAUUCACUGAAGUCAGUAAUUGCCCACUGGGAACUAUUUUUAAUAGUUCUCACGCCCUCUUUUCGUGGUUUCUUUCAGAGCCUUCUGCACCGGCGGAGGCACGAGAUCGCGGCAAGGGGAUCGCAUAGCUAGCUAGCGAGGAGCGGUUCUUUGCCUAGGUGGUUUGCUCUUUCUUUUUGUAGUUGAGAGAGUGAGAGAUUCUGUAUCCAUGUAUAGAGACCACCUAUGUAUCUACUUUUAGCACUUGUAUUUGGGAUUUCCUUUGUAUUACUUUAUGUUUUUAUUAGUGGAUUCCAGUUUUAUGUUCCUUUCUCUAUUGUAGAACUUAGUAUUAUAUCAUGCUCUGAUACUCCUAGUUGUAUUUUAUUACCGCUUUAUUUAUUAUUGUUUUAGACGCCUUAUAUGUUUUAGACGUAUGGCGGGUCUGGAUACGUGCCGGGCGGGCUUCCGCUGGGUCCCGGGGCAUGACAACUCUUAGGGUGCGUUUGGUUCGAGUUAUCCUGGCAGGAUUACAGGCAAUCCUGCCAGGAUUACUGUGUUUGGUUCAUCCGCUAUGUAAUCUAGUCGUUAAUGAAGCAUUACAAAUGGAGCAGGACUACACCAAAAAUAUUAACGAGAGAGGGGUCGUGUAUCUUGCAUUACUGAAAACCGGUAAUACUACAUAUUAUGUAAAAUAACAAUUUUACCCCUCUAACUCCCAAAACCCUUUCAAUAUGUCAUUUCAAAAAAUUUAAUUUAAAAUUUUGAAUUGUCAACUUUUAAAUUUUAAAUUUAAAAUUUAAAUUUUUAAACUUCAAAUUUAAAAUUUAAAUUUUAAAUUUGAAUUUAAAUUUUAGAUUUAAAAUUUAAAUUUUAAAUUUUAAAUUUGAAUUUAAAUUUUAUAUUUUAAAUUUCAAAUACUAAAUUUUAAAUUUCAAAUUUAAAUUUUAAAUUUUAAAUUUAGAAUUUGAAAUUUAAAAUCUAAAAUUUCAAAUUUCAAAUUUGNAAAAAUUUUAAAUUUGAAGUUUAAAAAUUUUGAUUUUAAAUUUCAAAUUCUAAAUUUAAAAUUUAAAUUUUAAAUUUGAAAUUUUAAAUUUUAAAUUUUAAAUAUUAAAUAUUAAAUUUUAAAUUCAAAUUUGUAUUUUAGUUUCUGAAUUUUAAAUUUAUAUUUUUAAUUUUUAAUUUUAUAUUUAUAUUUACAUUUAUAUUUUGGAUUUUAAAUUUAAAAAUUUCAUAUUUAUAUUUUAAAUUAAAAUAUUAAAUUUAUAUUUUUGUUCAAAUUUAAAAUUUAAAAUUUAAAAUUUAAAUUUUAAAAAUUAAAUUAUUUAAAAUAAAAUUUAGUAAAAAAAUAUUAUUUGUAAAUAGUAAAAAAAAAAAAGUUUACUAAAUAUGAUUAAGGGCAAUUUUGGAAUAGACUAUACUUUAUUAUCUAGAUUACUGAAUUUUAUAGAUAAAACCAAAUAUAUUAAUGCUAUAACCACUGGAAUCCAGCGUUACAUUCCUGUAUUAAACCAAACGCGCUAAUGCAGCAUAAGUAGUAAUCUCUUUUAGAAAUCCAAGAUAUCUAGAUAUAUCGAAAUACUCUGUAAUAUUAUAUAACUUGAACCAAACGCGCCCUUAAGAGUAUCCAGACUUUUUUGCUACAGAGUUUUUGUCCAUUGGAUCUAUCAAGAUUCGUGCAGUGAAAACAACGAAACGGACAGAAAGCGGAGAAGCAUCCUGUCGUUAACUGUGAAGUGAAAAAGGAAAUGUUACUUUCCCUUUUUCACACUCUCUUUCCUCUUCUCUCUCUUCCUCCCUUUUUCUCUGUUAUUUUCUCCUCCCCACUCUCUUCAUCUCUAUCAAACCCUCAUCUCAAUCUCACUUCGAUCUCACUCGGGGAGCGACCGCACCGUAGCACCUAGCAACCGAGCUUUUGGAUGAAGCCGCCUGUGCAUUCUGUCACGCCCCGAGCUCGAUCCUUUUGGCCAGUUCGAGCGCGUCGAACAGACGCCGAACGGACAGAGUCUCUCCUGUCCGCCCAAGGCUCAACAACAGGUACAGAUAGAGUAUAAAAUUUGCACUUGCGGAAGCAUACAUGAUGACUUGCACGAGGGCAAGCAAUAGCCAAAAUAAAAGUAUCUACUAAUCGACAUACAAGUACGAUGAUUAACUUUAAAUCACAUACAUGCAUUCAACUUUAAUACAUCACAUAUUCCUCAAAAUAUAGCCAUUUGCAUUUAACUAUGAUAUUCUUUUACAUCAUUCAUUUAAACGUUUUUGAUACAACUAAAGUUAUCAAGUACAAAAAAUGAUAUAUAAAGGGGUAUGCAACUAAACCAAAAUAAGCAACCAUCUCGGGUGGUCUCUAUCUAGGGCGCGAUAUCCUUACCGCGAUCAUCCGCCGGCUCGCUCGGUCCGAACUCUGUAGAAAAUGGGGUGUCACGCCCCGGGACCGGCGGAGGCCCUCCCGGUAGCGCGCCCAGACCCGCCAUAUGUCAGCACAUAUAAGGCGUCUACAAAAACAGCAGAAAAUAAAACUAAAGAGAUGAUCUACAACUAGAGAUAUCAGAGCAAGAGUAAAUCUAUCAUCUAUGACAAGGUGGUAGAAAAUAUAGUAAACAAUAAAAGUGAGUCAUAAGUUAUACAAUAACCAUCUCCAAAAAGAGGUACACAAAAGGGUGGUCUCUAAACAUGGAAACAUCUCUCAACCUCUCCAAAAAGAAAACAACGAGAGGUAGACCACCUAUCAACGCGUCUCUCGAUAGCAAGCUAGCUCGAGGCGAUACCCUUUCCGCGGUCCCUAGCCUCUCCUGGCGUGGAAGGCUCUGAAAUAAGACAUAAAACAGAGGGCGUGAGAACUAUAAUUUAUAGUUCCCAGUGGGCAAUUACUGACCUCAGCUCAAUGCACCACUAGGCCCCAAAAGAAAAGGGUAAGUCCAAAACGUAAUAAUAAUAGUAAAUAGAUUGCAUUUAUGAAAGCAUAAAUAAAAUACUACUAUGUCGCAAAUAAACAUGAUGUCAAUGUGUUGCACAUCUACUUUAUCAAAAUAAAGUAUGUCCAGGCAUGACUAAUAUGUCCCAACAUGACGAGCAAAUAAGUAUCAUGAUCCACUAUAUCCAUGUAUGAUGAAUAUGCUCUAUCAAGGUAGCCAAGUAUACUAUGAUGCAACAAAUAAGACUAUCAUGUAUACUACAAGUCCCAACACUAUGCUAUAAGCAUAUCAAGGUAAUCAAACUACUAAGCCUAUCUAGUAAUGAUUGUCAUUUCCCGAUUUAAUGUCAUUGUUUCCAACAUGUUCUAGGACCUACAUAGCGUAGUCCAGCUUGUGCCACCUAAGUGUCGGUGGUAGCUCCAACAUUCCCACUCUAGGAAUGAGUCUAUCCCUCCCAACCCCGUAGGUUUCUCGAUACCGCACGAGCGAGCAUAAGUCGCGUAGGCCAACUCCGGAGUACCGGCUUGUAGGGAGCGACCCUCACAAGCAUGUGCGAAUGAGCACAAAUGGCAAGCAAGCAAAGUCAUCGUCUCAAAAGUCCAAUCAUCAUGUCUCUAACACGGUAAAAGUCACAAGCGUCUCAAAGCUCUAGUUCAAUGUCUCAAAAUGAUGUUCCAACACUCACUAUGCUUAGUGCCUCUUUAUGACACUUAAGCUUGUUAUAAGUUAACACAUUUCACAAUCUAUGUUCCAUGCAUGACAUUAGUACUAGGUUCUCAUUUAACUCGAGCUCAAUGCCCCUUUAUGACAUUAGCUCAAUCACUCUCAAAUGGUACAAGUCCCCAGGCCUCUUACGGCUUAUUAAAGUCCUUUAAGUCUCAAGUAGGAAUAGCUUUAAAUGCAUGAAAGUAAUGCACAUUUUCACAAUAGAAAUUAUAAUUUCAAGUCUCAAUAGGAUGCCAAUCAUGUACAAGUUCCACAUGCUAGUUCUCUACUACAUAGAGGUCCGAAAAUUCCUUACACAUAACAUAGGCAUGUUAAGCAUCCUAAAAUUCACAAUAAUUAUAUUUAUCAUGAAAAUGUAUGAAUUUCAAUUUUACGAAGCAUAAAACAUAGGAUAUGAGAAUUUCUCAUAUGCUAGGCUAGGUCAAACCCACCGAACUUCGCGCAACCCUUCGUUCGCUCCAACGAAGGUGUCCACUAGUCUCCUAGCACCCUAGAAGUAUCAAAAAGUGAGCUACAAGAAGUAAACGAACAACUAUUAGCUCAAAUAUUAAUUUACCAAACAAAAGGGCCAAAAUCUCACCUAGAGAGUAAAAUCUCUUCUCAAGCUUCAAAAGAAAGCUAGAACCCUUCCAAUGUAAUUUAGAGGAAGGUUCUAAUCCAAGAGAUUGAGCUCCAAAAGCCGUAAAUCAAAAAACCCCAAAAUCAACCCUAAAACCUCAUUCUAGGGUUUCAUCUCAAAGAAACCAUAAAAAUAAGAAUCUAAUGAAAGAAACUUGUUACCAACCUCUUGGAAGCUUCAAUCCAAGCUUUAAGUCCUCUAGGGUAGAAGAUUGGUCCACCACCAAGCUCGAAAAGUAAGCUCCAACCCACCAAAAGAAAGAAGAGAGGGUGAAAGUGAAGCUCCAAGCCCUCAACAAGCUCUCCUUCCCCUUCCUUCUUCUCCCUUCUUCUUCUUCUUCUCUCUCUAAAAACAAAGGGGAGAGUGAAAUGAGGGAGAAGAGGAGGUGAAAUGGCCAUAUAGGCCCUCUAGUGUAACAAAAUCCAAAAAAACCCCUCAACUUUGCAACCUGUGCAAAGCUCGGUCUGGGCAGAUUUCGGACUGAGGGACCGGUCUCCCCGAUAUGGGACCGGUCUCUCGGCCUGCCCCCAAAAAUCCAACGUUCAGGAACCGGUCUCUCCCCGCAUGGGACCGGUCUCUCCCCGCGCAGACGCGCUCGGGGACCGGUCUCAUCCGCCAGGGACCGGUUGCCUCGAGGCUGCCGCAAUACUGUUCCGGGAGGACCGGUCUCUCCCAGCCAGGAACCGGUCCCCGAGAGUAAAAACUCUCAGGACUCGUCCAGAACUCAGAUUUUCGAACUUUUUAGGUCAGAAAACAUUCUACGACCUUCCACCAAGUAUGGAAAAGCUCGGAACACAUCCAAUCACUCGAACCUCGCAAUUUGCACAGGUCCAGUGUGCUACAUGGAGUGUGAGAACUACAACAAAGUUCCUAGUGGGUUCGGCAACCAACAACGCCGACUUUCCCACUAGGUCUAAAUCAGGCAUAAUGGAAGAAAAGAGAUACAGAUAGUAACCAAACUAUACAAUGCAGCUAAUAUGCCUGAACAAUAAUCAAUGCAAUGCUCAAUAGUAUGCUCAUGAUGAAUGCAAGUUCACAUUUUUUUUACCAAAAUCUUGUGGCUAACCUAUUGGGCCCUCAGCCUGUUAGGCAUUCAACUUCCUCCCGUAGGGUUCCAUAACUCACCAACUCAAAAUCCCAAUUUUCGGGCCCUCCGUUUCCUCCCGUUGGGACCGUCCUCUGGCGAUUCCCCUUCCCAGUGGUGACAACUCCGGAGUACACCGCUCGAGGGGGAGCGACCACCCUCAAGCCAAGACUAUAGGCGAGUAAGAUCAAUUCUUAGCUUUAAAGAUUUCAAUGCUCAUGUGACCCUUAUCUUUAAGGUUUCUAAGUCACAAUGUCACUAUUGUUCUUUACUUGCAUUCAUUAACCUUUACUAGUGUCAUAUAUACUACUUUGUUCUUGUACUCAUUCAUUAAUGCCACACUUAUUUUCUAAGUGUUCAACUCUAGCAUUCUUGACUCGUCGAUGCCACUCUCUACAAAUAGGGGUGGAAACGAGCCCAGCUCGAGCGAGCUUAUCUCAGCUCAAGCUUGGCUUGAAAUUAAUUUCGAGCCUAAAUUUAGGCUCAAGCUCAGCUUGAAAUUAAUUCGAGCCAAGCUCGAGCGAGCCUAAUUUCGAGUCGAGCGAGCUCGGGCCCUAAACGAGCUACUUGAAAUUCUUAACAUCGUGCAAUCUAUAGUUUAAUUUUUAUAAAAUAUUAUCUAAAAUUCGAUACAAAAAAUGUCUAAUAGCUCAACAUACAAAAUGAAUGCAUGAAAUGCGAUAUUAUAAUAUUAAAAAAAUUAGGAAAAACAACUCUAUGAGCGAGUGAAAAAGAGAAAGAGAGAGCAAGUAAAGUAGGAUUUUGCUGGUUUGGUUUUAUAGGCCCAGUAAUCUAAAUUCUAUAUACAUAUAAUUAAAAUACAUAACAUAAAUUUAUAUAAUUAAAAUAUAUAUUAUAUAUAAUUAUAUAUAGAGAGAGUUUGGCUACUAUACUCUAUUAGUAUAGACCAUUUUAUAUUCAUAAGUUUUUUAUCGUUAGAUCUAUACUUUUGACCAUUUCGAUCCGUAUAUCAUACUAUUCAACCAACCACCCACUCAAUCCUAGGGGACCACUAUUAUCCUAAUUGCACAUCCAAUGGCGAAAAAUUUAUAAGUCUAAAAGGGGUCUAUACUUAUAAGAAUAUAGUAGCCCUAGCCUAGAGUAGGGCUAGAAUACUUUUACAAGUAUCACUCAAGUGAUACUUGUGUGUUUUUAGCCAUUGGAUCUACUUUUUGAUUACUAAUUGUAACACACUGGACCUUUGCAAAUUGCGAGGUUCGAGUGAUUAGCUGUGCUCUGAGCUUUUCCAGAUUUUCUGGCCAUGUUCGGGCGGUCUGUCGGUUAGGCUCUCGACUGGUUUUAGGUUUAAAAACCCAAAAUUUGGAUUUUGUCAGCUCUGCAGAUUGCUGUCUGCGGCUUGUACCGUACAAGGUUGUGCUUGUACCCGGUACACCAGCCGAGAACCACUCGCAAACCCGAGCCUCGGUUUGCAUUUUCGCAGGCCUUUGUACGCGGUACAAGGAUGGUCUUGUACGGUAACAAUGUUGAUGGUUGUACCGGUACAGCCAUCUGGGCCUGUACCGGUACAGUGCCGCAGAACCGCCCCACUCGGCCUCGGGAUUGGUAUUUUCGCAGGUCUUGUACGCGUACAAGAUCCCGUGUACCGGUCACAAGGAGGCUGAUUUCGUGCAGUUUGUUCUGUCAGGGGCUUAUUUGCGAUUGUGGCACGCCCUUAUAACAGCACCCACGCCCCAUAGGGCCUCCCUUGUGGCUGGAACUGAGAGGCGAGCAAGGUAAGGAGCCCUCCUUUUCCCUAUUUGGAUUUGAUCUCCAAUUUCUUGGAUUUUGAUGAAUUUCCCUCUCUUUUCCUCUUGAGCUCUUUCACACCAUUGUUGGAGCUUGGAACUUGGAUUUGGAGUUUGAUUGAGGGAAGAUACUUGAAGUUUGAGGACUUUGAGUGGUUUUGAGGCUUCUAAGAGGUAAGUGGCAAGAUCCUUUCCUCUAGUUGAAUUUUAGAGCUUUCUUUGAGAUGAAACCCUAUUUUUGGGACUUAGGGUUUAUUUGGGCUUUUUGAACCUAGGGCUUUUGAGGCUUGAUUGGUUGGUUUAUGAACCUUCCUAGGGCUUGGAUUGGAAGGGUUCUAGCUCUCUUUGGGAGCUUAGGAGAAGAUUCUACUCUUGAGGUGUUUUGGCCCUUUUGCUUCUCUAGGUUAAAGAUUGAGCUAUUGCUCUUUGUAACGAUGGUGAUGACACCAUUUUUGAUGUUCCUAGGGUGCUAGGAAGCUUGUGGAAAUCUCCCGUUCGGCGAAACGAAAGUUUCGAUUUCGUGGGUUUUGACCUAGCCUUUGAUAUGAGAAAAUCUCAUAUUUUGGUGAUAAGUGUUCUUGUACUAAUAUCUCAUGGCAUUUUCAUAUUAAAUGUAUUUAUUAUGAAUUUUAGAGUGCUUAAAAUGCCCAUGUUAUAUGUAAUGAAAUUCUGGACCCUCUAUGUAGUAGAGAGUUGCUUGAGAGAGAGUUGGUUGUCAUUUAGCAUUCUAUAUCAGAUUGGUUCAUGUUUCUAUAGAGUAAAUGAGCUAUGAUUCAUGCGUUAAAAAUAAGUUUAAUUGAGACAUGAAAAAUGACAAUUGCUAUAUAUAUAGGCAUCGAACUUGAUAUCAUGUGAAUUAGAGAGCUAAUGUCAUCAAGCGGCAUUGAGCUCAGACAUGUGUGAACUAAUUGUGUUAAAGGCACUAGAGCUAGAGACUGUUUGAUACCAGGCGCAUCUCAUUCAUUCAUUAGCACUUCAUUUGCUAAACUCAUGGCAUAGAGAAUGUGUACAAUGAGGAGUUACUGGUGGGUGACACGCCCAGAACAUUCCUUCAAUGUUCAUAACGAGUGUUUGGCGUGUCCAGUUGCAAAUAGGCGAUAUUGAUUAAUGCCGAUUGAUCUGCUAGUGCUAAGAUCAAGAUGUGGGGAUUUGAUUUAUCUUGGGGACCAACCUGGCUCUCCAGUACUAUGCGGUGAUAGAUGUGAAAGCAAGGUGAUCACUUUUCGUGAGCCUAAACAAGAAGAGUUACGUCCUCGCCGCGCGCGUGCAAAGUAGGCGCUUCGCGGCGACUAUAUCGUCUGUAAGGGCGAAGAGAAUGAUCAAAAGAGGGUGUUAGAGCCCUAUUUGGCAACCAUGGUGGAAUGCUCGAGAGGGAGUACCCUGAGUUGGGGGAUCUAUUCGAGUAGUGUGCGAGUACCCGAUUGUAUUUCCGGCGGAGUUACCGGGACUGCCACCGGACCGGGAAGUUGAGUUUGUCAUUGACUUAAUUCCCGGGGCGGAACCAGUUUCGAAGGCUCCGUAUAGAAUGGCACCGGUGGAGUUAAAGGAGCUAAAAGGUCAAUUACAAGACUUGCUCGAUAAAGGCUUCGUGAGACCGAGUGUGUCACCGUGGGGAGCUCCGGUAUUAUUUGUGAAGAAAAAGGAUGGUACGCUUCGACUCUGCGUAGAUUAUCGUGAGUUGAACAAGGUAACGAUAAAGAACAAGUACCCGUUGCCAAGAAUUGAUGAUCUAUUCGAUCAGUUGCAAGGGUCCAAGGUGUAUUCGAAGAUUGAUCUCCAAUCGGGGUAUCAUCAAUUAAAAAUCAGGCCAAAGGAUGUGCACAAGACGGCGUACCGUACGCGGUAUGGUCAUUAUGAGUUCACGGUAAUGCCGUUUGGGCUUACUAACGCCCCGGCAGCAUUUAUGGACUUGAUGAAUCGGGUCUUUAGACCAUUGUUGGAUCGAUGCGUCGUGGUGUUUAUAGACGACGUAUUGGUCUAUUCGAAAAGUGAAGAGGAGCAUGAAGAGCAUCUGAGAGCUGUGUUGCAGAUACUCAGACAAGAGAAGCUCUAUGCAAAGUUAAAGAAAUGUGACUUUUGGCUAAAGGAGGUCACAUUUUUGGGCCAUGUGGUGUCGGGCGACGGAGUGUCGGUAGACCCGAAGAAAGUAGAGGCGAUCAAGGAUUGGCCUCGCCCGACGAAUGUGACGGAGAUCCGCAGUUUUCUUGGACUGGCGGGUUACUACCGGCGGUUCGUGGAGGGGUUCGCCAAAAUAACCACUCCACUAACGCGCCUUAUGCAUAAAGGAGUAAAGUAUGUUUGGAGCGACGAUUGCGAUCGGAGCUUCGAGGAGCUAAAGAACAGGUUGACGUCGACCCCGGUGCUUGCCUUGCCGACUCCGGGAGAGACUUUUGUAGUGUAUAGUGAUGCCUCUUAUGUUGGUCUUGGGUGUGUAUUAAUGCAAAAUGGGCGAGUUAUUGCAUAUGCAUCGCGCCAAUUGAAGAGCUAUGAGAAGAACUACCCGAUUCACGACCUUGAGUUAGCCGCGGUGAUUUUCGCGCUAAAGCUUUGGAGGCAUUACUUGUAUGGUGAACAUUGUGAGGUAUACACCGAUCACAAGAGUCUAAAGUAUUUGUUCACCCAGAAGGAAUUGAACAUGCGACAGCGGCGGUGGUUGGAAUUGUUGAAGGACUACGAUGUCACUAUACUAUACCACCCCGGAAAAGCCAAUGUCGUGGCCGAUGCUCUAAGUAGAAAAUCGGCGGAGAACUUAGCGACGGCAAUUACGCCUCAGCCGCUAUUACAAAAGGAAAUGCAGCGAUUCGGGUUGGAAGUGGUAGCGCCGGGAGUGCCGGCUACACUUGCCACAUUGGUUGUGCAACCGACCCUAUUGGAAAGAAUCAAAGAGUUACAAGCUUCGGAUCCUUAUCUCCAAAAGGUUUGGAGUGAUGUUGAGAACGGUAAAGCCGAAGAUUUUGGCGUUGGAGCCGACGGCGCACUUCGAUUUCGAAAUCGAUGGUGUGUGCCAAAAGAGGAUAAGUUGCGAAAGGCAAUUAUGCAAGAGGCACAUCAGUCUCCCUAUAGUAUACACCCCGGCGGCACUAAAAUGUACAAGGAUUUGAAAGAGCACUAUUGGUGGCCGGGUAUGAAAAGAGAUAUUGGGGAGUUUGUGGCGCAGUGUCUAACGUGCCAACAAGUAAAAGCUGAGCGCCGAUUUCCGGCGGAAAAGCUACAAUGUCUACCAAUACCCGUUUGGAAAUGGGAAGAUAUAGCGAUGGACUUUGUUACCGGUUUGCCUCGAUCACAAGGCGGACACGAUGCGAUAUGGGUGAUAGUGGAUCGAUUGACAAAAUCGGCACACUUCUUGCCGAUACAUACUACGUGGUCGGGAGACAAGCUAGCGCAAGUUUAUCUCGACGAGGUUGUGAGACUUCAUGGGGUUCCAGUGUCGAUCGUGUCGGAUCGCGACCCCAGGUUCACAUCCCACUUUUGGAAGAGUUUGCAAGACGCGCUAGGCACACGGCUCGACUUCAGUACAGCGUUUCAUCCUCAAAGUGAUGGACAGUCGGAGCGAACAAUACAAAUCCUUGAGGAUUUACUUCGAGCGUGUGUGCUAGAUUACAAAGGAGGAUGGCAUGAUUUCUUGCCUAUGGCGGAGUUCGCCUACAAUAAUAGCUACCAAGAAAGUAUAGCGAUGGCGCCUUUUGAGGCACUAUAUGGUCGAAAGUGUCGUUCUCCUAUCCAUUGGAGCGACGUGGGCGAGAGAGCGGCUCUUGGCCCGGAUGUGGUGCGGGAGGCGGAAGAGAAAGUUCGCCUUGCCCGUCAACGGUUGGCGAUGGCGCAAUCUCGGCAAAAGAGUUAUGCCGACAAGCGAAGAAAGGAUUUAGAGUUCGCGGUUGGAGACCGUGUAUUCUUGAGAGUAUCGCCGAUGCGAGGAGUCAAACGAUUCGGGGUCCGUGGGAAGCUAAGUCCCCGUUAUGUCGGACCGUUUGAGAUAUUAGAGCGUGUGGGUGCGGUGGCAUACAAGCUCGCACUACCACCGAGACUCGCGGGAGUUCACAAUGUGUUUCAUGUGUCGAAUCUUCGAAAGUAUAUCCGAAACGCGGCACAUGUAUUGGAAUACGAGCCCGUGGAGCUACGUGAAGACAUGUCCUAUGAGGAGUACCCCGUGUGCAUCCUCGAUCGAGAAGUUAAGAAGUUGCGAAGUCGCAAAAUUCCAUAUGUGAAAGUCCAAUGGAGCAACCACGCGGCGCGAGAAGCCACUUGGGAGCUCGAGGAAACCAUGCGGAGAGAGUAUCCGCAUCUAUUCGAAUCGACGAGUUAAGGUAUGCGUAAUUUCGCGGACGAAAUUAUUUUAAGGGGUGGAGAAUGUAAUAUACCGAAAAUUCGGAAAAUAAAUAUCGAACUUUAGUCAAAUUGACCAAAGUGCGAGGAUGGUACACUUCGGAAAGUCCGAAGGUGUUAAUAUGAGUAAAAGUGAGUUAUGGAAGGUUUUCGAGAGCUAAAGGAUCGAAAAUCUGCAAAACUGCAGAUUUUGAGCUCUCGGGGACCGGUCUCUGGUGGGAGAGACCGGUCCCCGAACGCGUAUGAAAUGAGACAGCCGAAAAAUCGGCUAAGUCCUGAAAGGUCAGCUCUCGGGAACCGGUCUCUGUCUGAGAGACCGGUCCCCCAGAGACCGGUCCCACAAGGAGAGACCGGUUGCUCUGCGCGCAGCAGCUCUAGCUGCGCUGGGACAACGUUCGGGAACCGGUCCCUGCUCGGGGAGACCGGUCUCUGCCUGCGCGGAAUGCCCAGUUCGGGCAAUGUAUUAAAGUGAAAGUUGAGGGGUUUAAUAGCAUUUUUGCAGCCCAAAGGUUAUGUAGUGAGGGUAAAUGAGAUAUUUCUCUCAUUUCACCCCUCUCACACUCUCUUCUCUCCCUCUCUCUCUCUAGAAGACAAAAGAGAAGAAGAAGAAAGGAAGAAGAAAAGGAAAAGAAGAGGAAGAAAGUGGAGAAGAAGAAGAAGAAGUGAAGAAACUCCUUCUCCUUCAUCUCUAGCUUGAAGAAAAAGGAAAGCUUGAGGUAAGCUUUGAACCCUAAUCUUGAUAGAACCCUAAAAUGGGUUUGAAUGACCUAGAAAUGAGUUUUAGUGAAAUGUUUAAAAAGUUUUGAAGCUUUCUUUUGCUUCUUUAGAGAUCAAAACCAUGGUUGAGCUCAAGGUGAGCUUCAACCCACCUCUAAUGGUGAAAUCCAAACUAGGGUUUUGGAAAGGCUAAGAAUGGUUCUAAUGGAUUAUUUAGAGUAUAAUGAAGCUACUUUUGCUUCCCAAUGAGAUCAAACCCUAGGUUUUGAUAUACAUUGGAGCUAGGGCACCCAAAUUGGGGCUUUUGUCAUUGAGGGUUUCUAAGUGCAAUUGACCCUCUAAAAACCUAAUUGGGGUAUUUCCGACGCGUUGGUGCGCUCGGAUUAACGUUACGAAAAGCCGAUGAAAAGUUAUGGCAAAAUGGCCUAAUAAGGUUCGUUAUGCCGCAGGUAAAGAAAGAAACGACUAAAAAUCCGAGAAAAUCGUCGGAGCACAAAAGAGACCUACAAGGUGGGGUGGUGCUUCUCAAAUCAUUGAACUUCUCUCUAUGCCUAAUGUGUCAUUCAUUUGAGCAUAUAUGUAUAUAUUGUUGCAUGCAUUUUAGGGUAAAGUAUGAUGAAAAUGUAAUGAUGCAUGAUUGUGAGUACACAACUUGAUAUAUGAUGAAUGAGAACUAUGUGAUGUCGAAAACCUAUAUGUAUGCAUGAGAAAAGUGAGCACCAAAGGAGCAAAAGAACACAGUGACACAAUGACAUAGAUCGAGUGGCAUUCGAUAAAGCUAAUGUGAAAUGACAACGUGUAAAGUUAAAGUAAAGUGGGCAAUAAGAACAAGAGAAGUUACGAACAAGAAUGCUAGAGAUAGCUAGAGUAAAGAAAAUGUAAAGAAUGUGAUUGCAUGAGCUUGCACAUAAAGUGAUGUAAAGAAACACUAGAGCUAGUGUAAAGUCAAGAUUGAACUUAUAAAUCUUUGAGUUAAGGAUAUGAUCAUACUUGCUAUGAGUUCCGUGCUCGGAGGGCGGUCGCUCCCCUCGGCGAUGCGCUCCGGAGUUUGCAUCCGGGUUGGAGUAAACCGUAAGGACGGUCCUAACUGGUGGAGUUCUCUGCGAUUGAUGGACUUUAUGUGAAGCAAGUUAAUGUGGCGAAAACCCGGGUUAGCCUUAAUGAUUAAAGAUCAAAGAGCAAAGAACAAAGGUGUAAAGUAUAUAAGUACUAAAGAACAUGCAUAACCUGCCAUUACUUAAAUUUGAGCAUAUUCCUUGCUUUUGUUCAAGCAUAUUAGCAUCAUGUUAUAGAUUGGUUACCGUAUUUCAGCUUAUCCUUUCUAUUAUGCCUGAGUUAGUCCUAGUGGGAAAGUCGUGAUGUUGAGGCCGAACCCACUUGGAACUUUUUGUUGUAGUUCUCACCCCACUAUUUCCACAGAGCCGGAACCGAGGAGCCAGCGAGCGGCCGCGUGUAAAGGUAUCGUGCCUUAAUCAGAGGCCACCAAGUUGGGUUUACAUUUUGUAGUAAAGUUACCUUAUGAUCAUUUUUGUAUUUGUAGAUUUAGUGAUGUAAAGAAAAAGAAUGUUAAGCUUAUUUUGAGGUGAAUGUAAUGUAAGAAAUGUGAAAUGUAUGUAAUGAAUGUAAGAAUUCGAUAAAUUACUAGAUGAAUGCAAUGUAUAUGAUCUAAAAUGAAUCAUAUUACUUGUGAAUGUUUUAGUUUCUUUUUCUUUCACUAAUGGCCAUUGUUAUCCUCGUGUAAGCCGUUUGUGUAUGUUUCCGCUAGUGCUUUUCUCUUUUGAUGAAAAUGUACAUGUGAUGAGCCUUGGGCGGAUAGGGGAAGCUCUGUCCGUUCAGCGUCUGUUUGACGUGCUCCGGUCGGGCCAAAUUGGCAUCGGUCCGGGGCGUGACAUAAUUGGCUCUUGAUACCAACUGUGACGCCCCGACUUCCCAGGGGGUCACCAUCCUAGGACUACUCCCGUCCUAGCACGCUUAACCUCUUUAACUCUUGGUCUAGCCACCACCAAAUGCUUAAGCCGGUUUAAGAGUUUAGCCCUUUUAUUCAUAUAUAGGACUAUCUGGGUCUCACAAAGGGGCACUAGGCGUAGCAAAUGUUGAAACUUCACAUUGUGAUUAAACUAGAUCUUCGGGAUGCUAGUGACUAUACCAUGUUAGAGACAUGAGGGUUGAAUACUUGAGAUUUGGACUAUGCUUGUUUGCCAUUUGUGUUCAUUCGCACAUGCUUGUGAGGGUCGCUCCCACAAGCCGGCACUCGGAGUUAGCCUACACGACUUAUGUUCGCUCGUGCGGUAUAGGGAGCCUACGGGGUCGAGUGGGAACGACACAUUCCAAGAGUAGGUAUGUUGGGCUACCACAGGCACUUAGGGCGGGCACAAGCUGGACUACCUUGGUAGGUUCUUAAUUGGAAAUGGAAAUUGACACUGUGUUGAGAAUGGUUAAUCACUAUAGAUAGGUUUUAGUUGAAUGACAUUGUAUAUGCUUUUAGCAUAGUGUUGAGACAUGUAGUAUACUUGAUAGUUGCCUUUUUGCAUUAGAGCAUACUUGGUUGCCAUGACAGAACUUAUGCAUAAUGUAUUCAUAACGGUUAAUGACAUACUAUUUUGAUAUCGUGGAUGUGCAUCACCAUGACAUCGUUUAUACUUGAGUUUAGUAGUUUAGCAUUUCAAUUAUGCCUUUAUAUCGCAGUCAUUAUUGCUAUUGUAUUAUACUUACCCUUUUCUUUUGGGGCCUAGUGGUGCAUAGAGAUGAGGUUAGUAAUUGCCCACUGGGAACUAUAAAUUAUAGUUCUCACGCCCUCUUUUUCUCGAUGUUUUUCAGAGCCUUCCACGCAGGGAGAGGCCAGGGAUCGCGGAAAGGGUAUCGCCUCGGGCUAGCGUGCUUACUGAGGGAUCGUUCGAUAGGUGGUCUACCUCUCAUGUUUCUUUUUGUGAGAGGUUGAGAGUUGUACCCGUACAUGUAUAGAGACCACCCUUUUUGUACUAGAGACGGUUAUUGUACUACUUAUGAUUUCUUUUAUUGUCUAGCUUUGUUUCUUCACUUUGGUGUAGAUGAUAGAAUUUUAUUCGCUCUGAUAUCACUAAUUGUUACUAUUCUAUUUGUAUUACUUCUUGCUUUUACUUCCGCUUUUUCUAUAGACGCCUUAUAUGUGUUGGCAUACGGCAGGUCUGGGCACGCUACCGGGAAGGCCCCUGCCGGUCCCGGGGCGUGGUAGAUUAAUUUGGUAUCAGAGCCUAGGGUUGAGUUUUGGUGGACCUAGCGAACCUUAGGCCGGUUGGACAAUAGGAAUUAGGCUCGUGAGAGACGAGGUCUAAUUGACUUGUGAGCGAAAGUAUUUUGAUUGGGUUUAUGACAACUCUAAAAAGUUAGAGUUUGAUCGGAGUGUAUGGCUUCUAACUUUCCGGAGGGUUACGUUGGCGGCCGACAACGUAACAUCGGGAGUUAGCAGUGAAGGACACUUCCUUACUUUCGCAUGAUUUGGGGUUUUAUCUAUUUGAGCGGGGAUGCGUUAGCGUGGGUUACUAACGUGCGCUUUUAUGCUUUGUAGUGACGAUGCCGAUUACACGCUCCCAGUCUGCCGGGGCGGAUGAUGCGGCACACCCCGAGGAGGUCGAGACCUCCGCUACUUCCGGAUCUAGCGAGGUCCGCGACUUGAGGGCCCAGCUUGCGGUUCUCACUGAUCUGUUGGCGCAGCAGACGGCAGCGGCGCAGCGACAGGCCGAGGUGGCCCAGCGGCAGGAGGCACGGAUGAAGCAUCUCGAGGACCUCCUACUUCAGCAGGCGGCAGCUUCGAGGGAGACUCAGGCCCCUACACCACCUGCACCAGUUGUGGACGUUGCGCCGAGAGCGCCCUCCCCAGCACCCAGUUCUUCGCGUGCGGCACCGGUGACCGAACCUCAGGAGGAGGUGGUUGCGGCAUUACUAGUUCAGAGACCGGCCAUAGGAGCAGCCUUCCCUGUGAUGGCCGAGGGAGCCGAACGGGAUCGGCUCAUGGAGCGCCUCAGUGAGUUUAGGAGGUGCAGCCCGAGGACGUUUGAUGGCGAGAACGUCGACCACUGGAUUGUUGAGAAGUGGUUGCUACACAUGGAGAAGCUGUUUCGAGACACCUUUGUGGAGGAGCGGGAUAGAGUUUGGCUCGCCACUCACUUCCUAGAUGGCGAGGCCUACCGUUGGUGGUUGGAUAUCCAGGACAACCCCAACACCGACUUGGCAGCGAUUACUUGGACUAGGUUCAAGGAGCUUCUUUUGGCGCACCACUUUCCUACCAGCGUCAAGAGGAAGAUGGAGCAGGAUUUGCGCAGCUUGCGCCAGGAUGAGUGGUCAGUGGCGGAGUACGAGAGGGAGUUCUCCCGGAUACUACACUGUGUACCGUUUGUUGUAAGGGACGACGAGGACAAGGCCCGCAUCUUUGAGCGCGGUUUGCGGCCUUCUAUCUUUCGGUUGGUGCAGUCUUCCAACCUCCAGACUUAUCGGGAGGUUGUGGAUCGAGCUUUGAUAGUGGAGACAGGAGCGGCGGAUCUGCAGGAGCGUCGCGAGGCCCUAGAUAAGGGCAAGGGCAAGAGGCCAGCGGCUGAGGGUGCGAGUCAGACGCACUCACGGAGGUCGCCAAGGCACCCCAGGAGCAGGAGCGAGUCGCGAGGACGCGGCCAGUCUACUCAGCGAGGAGGACCCGAUCGUCGUCAGGCUCCCCGCUGCGUGAUCUGUGGCGGUCCUCACUACCCCCGGCAGUGUUCACGCAGCCGGGGCAGGUGCUUUUUGUGUGGCCAGGAGGGCCACUUCCAGUCGGACUGCCCGAGGAGUUCAUUGCCAGCGCCAUCUGCGGCAUCUGCACCAGCAUCGCCAGGUCCCAGCCAGGGGACAUCUUCUGCGCAUCACCAGGCAGGGCGGCCGCUAGUUCUGCGACAGGCGGAGGGGUCACGACAGGCCCCGAGCGGGCGCAUGUACGCGGCCCAGACUGAGGAGGCGGCGGCAGCUGAGAAUGUGGUCGCAGGUAUCAUUUUGCUUUAUGGUAUUCGAGUUAGAGCUUUGUUUGAUACCGGUGCAUCGCAUUCAUUCAUAGACCGGCUGUUUGCCGAGUUGCAUGGCAUCCCACUUGUAUCUUUGUUACAUCCGGGCCGAGUUGUUGUACCCGAUCACUCUUUAGACAUUCGGGAGUUUUGCCCCAGUUGCCCUGUUAGGAUUGGAGAUUGGAUCAUGCCCGUGGACUUGCUAGCUUUGCACAAACUCGGGGAGUUUGAUGUUGUGUUGGGCAUGGAUUGGUUGACUAAGUAUUUCGCCACUAUCGAUUGUAAGGAUCGAACGGUGACUUUUAGAGAGCCAGGGCAAGCGGAGGUUGUGUACCGAGGAUGCCAGAGUUCGCUGUUUGCGACGACGAUUAGCUCCUCUCGAGCUAGGCAGUUGAUUAGUAGAGGCUGCGUAGCCUACUUGGCUACUGUUGUGUUGCGGGGUGAGGAUGACUCCCCUAGGAUUGAGGUUAUUCCCGUAGUGCGGGAGUUUGGAGAUGUGUUUCCAGCAGAGCUUCCAAGCAUGCCUCCUGAUAGGGAGAUUGAGUUUGUGGUAGAUCUCGUCCCCGGGACUACCCCAAUCUCGAAGGCGCCCAAUAGGAUGGCACCAGCAGAGUUGAAGGAGCUGAAGGCACAGUUGCAGGAUCUUCUGGACAAGGAUUUUGUGCGACAGAGUGUGUCACCGUGGGGAGCACCGGUCCUAUUCGUUAAGAAGAAGGAUGGAUCACUUCGCUUAUGUGUGGACUAUCGUGAACUCAAUAAAGUCACGAUUAAGAACAAGUAUCCAUUACCGAGAAUUGAUGAUCUAUUUGAUCAGCUCCAGGGAUCUUGUGUAUAUUCCAAGAUUGACUUGCAGUUGGGAUAUCACCAGUUGAGGAUCAGACAUGAGGAUGUGUCGAAGACGGCUUUUAGAACACGGUAUGGACAUUAUGAGUUUACGGUUAUGCCGUUUGGGCUUACUAAUGUCCCGGCAGCUUUUAUGGAUCUGAUGAACCGUGUUUUCAAGCCUUAUUUAGACAGAUUCGUUAUGGUGUUUAUCGACGACAUCUUAGUGUACUCCCGGAGUGACGCGGAUCACGAGGAACACUUGAGACUUGUACUUCAAGUGCUUCGGGAAAAGAAGCUCUACGCCAAAUUGAAAAAGUGUGAAUUUUGGCUUAGAGAGGUGGCAUUUUUGGGCCAUGUGAUUUCAGGAUCAGGCAUAGCCGUGGACCCGAGGAAAAUUGAAGCUAUCAAGGAUUGGCCGAGGCCGACGAGCGUGACCGAGAUACGGAGCUUCAUUGGUUUGGCCGGCUACUACCGACGGUUUGUCGAGGGAUUUGCGAAGUUAUCUACUCCCCUCACGAGACUCACGCAUAAGGGCACCAAGUUUAUUUGGAAUGAUGCGUAUGAAAGGAGCUUCCAAGAGUUGAAGCAGCGAUUGACGACUGCCCCGAUCCUAACCUUGCCAACUGCUGGAGCAGGGUAUGUGAUUUAUAGUGAUGCUUCCUUUAAUGGAUUGGGCUGUGUUUUGAUGGAGGACGGGAAAGUGAUCGCGUAUGCGUCUCGCCAAUUGAAGGACUAUGAAAGGAAUUACCCCACUCACGACUUGGAGUUGGCGGCCGUAGUCUUUGCAUUGAAGCUAUGGCCCCACUACUUAUAUGGCGAGCGAUGCGAAGUAUAUACGGAUCACAAGAGCUUAAAGUAUCUAUUCACUCGGAAGGAGUUGAACUUGAGGCAGCGCAGAUGGUUGGAGCUACUCAAGGAUUACGAUUUGACGAUACUUUACCACCCGGGCAAGGCUAACGUGGUGGCGGAUGCGCUAAGUAGGAAAUCGACUGAGAAGUUAGCGAUGCUUGUGGUUACUCAACCGCCGUUGAUCGAACAGAUGAAGCGGUUGGAGUUGGAGGUGGUGGCUCCUGAUACACCUUGGAGACUGAUGGCUUUGGUGGUGCAACCUACACUUGUGGAAAGGAUUAAAGAAAAGCAAGCUUUUGAUGUGGAGUUGCAAAAGAUUAAAGGUAAAAUGGUUGGUGGUUGCACCGGUGACUUCACCUUAGACGGUGAUGGAUUGAUGCGUUUCCGCGGAUGACUUUGUGUACCGACGGACUUGGGCAUUAAAGAGGAUAUCCUUCAAGAAGCACAUCGAGCACCGUAUGCUUUACAUCCGGGAGGCACCAAGAUGUACAAGGACUUGAAGUUGCUUUAUUGGUGGCCCGGGAUGAAAAAGGAUGUGGGUGAGUUUGUUGCCAGAUGCUUAACUUGCCAACAGGUGAAGGCUGAGCACCGAGUUCCUGCGGGAAAGCUGCAGAGCCUACCGAUUCCAGUGUGGAAGUGUGAAAAGAUCACCAUGGAUUUUGUGAUGGGAUUGCCGCGCUCUCAGGCCGGGCAUAACGCUAUUUGGGUGAUUGUGGAUAGAUUGACGAAAUCGGCACAUUUCAUACCUAUCCACACUACUUGGACUGGUGAGAGACUCGCACAGGUUUAUUUGGACGAGAUUGUGCGUUUACACGGGGUACCUACUUCUAUAGUAUCAGAUCGAGACCCCCGUUUUGUAUCCCACUUUUGGAGGAGCUUACACGACGCUCUGGGUACACGUUUGGAUUUCAGUACGGCUUUCCACCCCCAGAGUGACGGGCAGUCGGAGCGUACUAUACAUAUUCUCGAGGACAUGCUUCGAGCCUGCGUGAUCGACUUCCAGGGAGGAUGGUCGCAGCAUCUACCGAUGGCAGAGUUUCUUAUAACAAUAGUUAUCAAGCAAGCAUCAAAAUGGCACCGUUCGAGGCACUAUAUGGACGGAAGUGUAGAUCGCCACUUCAUUGGAGUGAAAUUGGCGAGAGAUUGGCCUUAGGCCCAGAUGUGCUCCAGGAAGCAGAGGACAAGGUUCGCAUUGCUCGGGAGCGAUUGUUGACAGCCCAGAGUAGGCAGAGGAGUUAUGCUGACAGGCGGCGACGAGACUUGGAGUUUCAGAUUGGAGAUCACGUCUUCUUGAAAGUCUCGCCGACUCGAGGAAUUAGACGAUUUGGAAUCCGGGGCAAGUUGAGCCCCCGAUUCAUUGGACCGUUUGAGGUUUUGGAGCGUGUAGGCCCGGUAGCGUAUCGACUUGCCCUACCGCCGAAUCUAUCGGGUGUGCACAAUGUAUUCCAUGUAUCGGUCCUUCGGAAGUACAUCCACGAUCCGGCUCAUGUAUUGGCUGCUACACCUAUGGAGCUACGGGAGGAUUUGNNNNNNNNNNNNNNNNNNNNNNNNNNNNNNNNNNNNNNNNNNNNNNNNNNNNNNNNNNNNNNNNNNNNNNNNNNNNNNNNNNNNNNNNNNNNNNNNNNNNUGUCAACGACCCACCAGAAAAUCUGGAAAAGCUCAGGACACAGUCCAAACACUCGAACCUCGCAAUUUGCAAAGGUCCAGUGUGUUACAUAAGUAGUCGUCUCAGGGUACCACUAUCUCUGAGACGUGGUAGGGCGCUUACUACGGAGCUACGCCUUUUCCUCGCGCCGCCGCGCCGCUCUCGUGUGAACCUGUAACCCCAAAAACAACACGGGGGUGAGAACUAUUGUCCAUAGUUUCCAGUGGGUACGGCCACCCAAGGAAAAAGCUCGACCUACCAGGUCCAAAGGAGGCACUGCAAACAUGUUAGUCCAAUAAAUAUUCACAAAUAUUUAAUGCAAAUAUUAAAUACAUGUUUAUGCCUCAAGACAUGCAAUAUGUAAUGUAUGCAACAAUGCAAGUAGAUCAUCUAAUUCUACUCUCUAUCCCGCUAUUCAUAGCUUUUCCAUAAUUUAUACAUCUUGUCAUUUUACAUCAUUCGUUAUUUGCUCCUAAGGUUUUUCUCUACUUUAUCCAAGCUAACCACCCGACUUGGCCUCAAGUCAAUCAUCUGUGGAAUGCCGCAUACAACCAGGCUCGAGGUGAUGGAUGUCUCACAUACACCUCAGCCUUAAAUCCACUCGAUAGGGAUACCAAAUCCAUAGCUCAUAAUGCAUUCUUUUCCACUUUCAUUUUGGCUUUCACCCAAUUAACCCGGUUAACACUUGUUAACCCCAAAACUCACAACCCAAAAUCCCUUAAUAACGGAGGACUCGAACCACCCUAAGGACCGUCUGCUGGAUAAGUACGUUAGUCCAUGGGCAAGUACGUUAGCCCAUCGUGUGACAACUCCGGAGUGCACUGCUUGGGUGGAGCAACCACCACCAAGCUAAAAACAGACUAUGUGAGUAUGAUCCAAUCCUCUAGCCGGAACUAGUGGUAAUCAAACCGGGAUAACACUAAUCCCAAACCUCAUAUACUGAGUAAUCACAUUGUCUCUAGCUAAUGCCACAAUGUCUCUAAGUUCUCAUUGUUAUGUCAAAUGCCACAAUGUUUCUAAGUUCUCAUUGUUAUGUCAAAUGCCACAAUGUCACAAUUGCACAUGCAUAUACUUUUUAGCAUAGUUUACAACUUGCCAACAUGCAUAAUUUCAUCUAGCAUAUUCUUUAAUGUGUCAACAUGCAUUUACUUUCACCCAACAUAUUCCAUAAUAUGUCAAUAUACAUAUACUUGUCAUCCAAGGUAGUCAAUACUUAGCAUCUCAUGCAUUCUUUAAGCUCUACCACAUGCAUUCUUGAUUAACAUAAAUCGCAUGCAGUUAUUAAUAUUUAUCACAUGUAUUCAUUAUUAGCAUAUACCUUUCACAUUCAUUUAACAUUUAGCUCAUGUCAUUAUUUACUUUGCAAUCAACUACCAUUGCAAUUAACUAUCAUUAUGUACAUAUGCAUCAAUUAGAAAACCAUACUCCACUUUGACAUGGAAGUGACCUAAUCGCUUCGGUGAGCACAACCCACAUCAAAUCGCUUUCCGAUUGCUUGUAGUCUCUUGCAAUCGGCCUCCCGCGGCACCCGUUGCCCGGUUCGGCCCAAACUAGCACUCGACCACCAAACGGCCACCAAUCCACAAUCCGAAAAUUAAAAGUCUAUAACUUGAUGCCACGAUGCUCCGAAUCCAUUCUCGUGAUUUUUGAACGUCGCCUCGGCCCUCCAGGCGGAAACGAAGCCGAAACGUCCGUUUCUUUAAUAUCUUCUCACCGGCUCGACGAAUCGCCGAACCGACUUCGCCAACGCGUUCGUAUACCUAGCAAUUAGGUUUGUAUAGGGUUAAUUUAGAUCAAACCCAAACAUUUUACAAAAUUCCAUUUUUGAGCCCUAAGAUGCACUAUUAUAAGAAAUCAUCACAUAAUCUCUUUAUUCAUGCAAUAGUCAUCCAUUUAGUAUCUAAGGAUUCUACUAGAUCCAUUUCUAGGGCAUAUAACUCAUUCCUUAGCAAUCUACCAUUUUAAAUCUAGCCUCUACACAUGCUCCAAGUAACCCAAUUUAAAUGGAGAAAAUAUGCUAACAUCACAUUAGAGGCUACUAGAACACUUAAGCAUAAGGAUUAAAUUGAAAUCCUAGCUUAAAUCAUGAGAUCUCACCUUAGGCCACCAUGCUCAUCGAGUUAAAUCCACCAUUGGAAAGCUUGCUUCACAAUUGGAGAGCUCCAACUUCAUAUCCAACAUCAUCUCCUCCAAAAUCCCAAUUUUUGGAGAGAAAUCUAGAGAGAUGAGAGGGAAAUCUAGAGAGAGAAAAGGAGGUCUUCUCUCUCCCUUACCAUGCGUGUGUAAGUGUGGGGGUGGUGGUGCUCGGUUGAAGGAGAAAGGAGAAAAGCUCUUUUGUUACACAAUUAGCCCCCUCAACAAUACACAAUUUAUAUUCAGUUUUGCAGCUCCGGCACAUAUAUUUUUUGCCUGCCCUUCUGAAUGUCCAUUUGAGUUCAAAUUUAACAAUCAGGUUCGGUUUUACUUAACUUAAUGAAAGAAAUUUUAAUCUUUCAGUUCCGACCGUAUUUGGUCACCGAAAGCUCUACCGAACUGAAAUCUCUAGUAGGUAGCAGUCGGAUUUUAUUUUUCACUUUCUGGGCGUCGGAUUGACAUGAAACUUUAAAUCUAGGCUCAUAAAAAUAAUCCCGACAUAUUUCCAAGUUUUCAUGAUUUUCUGACACUGUGUAUUUUUUGCUAAAAUAUCAGCCCCGUCUCUCAUAGAAAAUUCUAAAUCUUCUAUUUUCGCUCUGAUUUCAGCACAAGUCAUUUUUUACUUAUAUUUUACUUCUCUAAAUCCAAUAAAAAUAGUAUCUCACACUAUUUUUAUUUAUUUUUACUUUUAUAUCAAAAUUCGGUAUGUUACACAUACAACAUCAUUAUCAUCCAAUGGUAGUCCAAUCAUAGCAUUUAUGUCAUGCAUUCAUAUGCUUUCCAAUUAACUACCAUUAUAUGCAUCAAUAAUAAAUAACACUUCACUUCGACAUGAAAGUGAUCUAAUCUUUUCGGUGAGCACAACCCACCUCUUAACGCUCUCCGAUUGCUUGUCAACUGUCACGCCCCGGGGUCCCUUUAGGUUAAAAACACAGCGAAAAUUUUUUUUUUGCAAACCUGACCCCAGGGUAUGCCAGAUCCGCCACAAAUACAGGGAAUCCACUGUUCACACGGACAGAGUCUCCCCUGUAUUUGCACGGCGUCGCACAAGUACAAGAGUAUAGCCAGGAAACAACCACAACCAAAUGAAUAUAAAGAUAACUAUACAUUCACACAUUCACCAUUCACAUCACAGUUUUACAUUCAGUGUUUAAAUAGAAAUUCACGAGAAUUCUUUUGAAAACUGUUCCCUACACGGAAACCUUUAUUCUUUAAGAAACGCUACCACGAGGGGUAGAAAACCUUUUAGUUCAAGAAAACACAAUUCCUUUAUUACAUUCCAAAACCAACUGAAAACUCAGAUAUUCAAAUAAUAAAACAAAACUGAACCAUGUAAACCGACUAAGCUAUAUAUAUCCACAGAAAUAAAAAGGGUAAUAGCUAAAUCGAAAUAACCUGGGUCGGAAGCUCUAUCGACCGCUACACACGUACCUCACGUCUCGUCCCACUACUCAACGCCCGCGAUACCUGAAAAAUGGUGGGGGAGGUGAGAACAUGUAAACAUGUCUCCCCUCCCAGUGGGUACCGCAAGCCGAAGAAGGCGAGGAGUACUCACCGGAUCAGGAAGAGCUAUAUAACAGUACGGGUCAGUGGGAAUACAGUAGGAACAGUAGUAAACGUAAGAGAUGUAUAAGGUAAUGAGCAGAUAUACUAAAUACAGUAGCAAUAAACUGAAAGAGAGCAGGAGCUAGACUGAAUAAUGGCUACCGCUACUGUAACUGGAACAGAAAGCAUACAUGAAUAUCUACUAUGGUAGCAAGACAACUAUAAAGUAAGAUCUGUAAGUAUGCAUGCAACGACUGCUACUAUAAACAUAUGCGUCAAUGGGACAAUCAGUCCAAAAGUACUCAAUCUGAAACCAAUGCUCUCUUGGUCAGCACCGCAGACCUCAAGCCAAUGCCCUGGAGGUCCGCACCGCAACACCUCCCGACAGUACCACUGCCGCUCUAACAUGCAUAUAACCCCUCUAGGGCUCACGGGUUGUCACCAUUCAACCACUUUUCCGGAAAAGAACACUCCUUGCGGUGGAUCAGACCGCCAGUGUUCGUGAAAUGCGACGAGUAUCGGGCGAUCAAUGCAAUAUGGUCAAUGAUCAACCGUCGGCAACCAGCCGACAAUCCUACCCCCCCAGGGCCUAUCGACCGCAUAGGUCAUCAACUGUAAAGAAGCACAAGAACCGACCACUCAGGUCAACUAGGAUGGGACAACAUCGACAUCCUCUCAAACAUAUGUAAAUACUGACUAAUCAAGUCAACUGGGAUGGAACAACUCAACAUCCUGCCCACAGUAUGUAGAUACUGAUCAAUGAGUCAACUACUGUAUAUAUGCAAGAAUCGGUCAACAAGUCAUCUGAGUAUAUGAUCUAGAACUACCGUCGGCCACUAGUCGACAAUCCUACCCCUCAAGGUACACCGACCUCAAAGGUCAUCAAACAACAAGAGUCAAGGAACAAACCGACUAUAUACAGAUAUAAGAUACAAGAACAAAUCAACUAGGUCACCGAUUUCACAUAAAAUCACGAAACCGCUCUACUCCAAACAUGAUACAGGAUAUGCAGAAUAGCUAAGUAGCGCAAUAAAGAAAUAUGGUAUAACUACUCUACUCCUACUCAUGAUAUAAAGAGAACAACCGAGUAGAGUGUAACUGAACAACAUGGUGCUAGGCUCAACACUAUAUAUCAAGAUAUAUAUAUGCUAGAUAAUAACGAAAGAGCAAAGGUAAGAAACCAUCACCGAGCGUGCACCACUGUACCGACGUCGGAUCGAAGUACCCACCUGUACAACUGUCGCGCCUGUCUCCUGACUGCAAAAGAACGUCAACAGGACCUAAGGAGGGUCCACUGGGUUAGUGUCUAACCCACGACUAAGAAACCCUUAAAAGCAUAACCCCACAAAUAAACCACCGAAUACACAACCCACAAACAAUCCCACGGAGAUCGGUUUCCCAAAACCGAUUACCAAACAAACCGGAAAUCCCGAAAACCACACCGGGACGCCGUCGGGACCCACUAAGUGUCCCGAAACUCACCGACUCGUGUCACGAGUCACCUGCUGCCCCAAAGCACUCCAAUUUGGGUGUUUUGGCAGCAAACACAAGAUAACACCCCUACACAAUUAUCGCCGGAUAAUUGUACGAAUCCGGAUUCCCGAAUGUGUUUAUUUCGACACCGGAACCCACCGUCGCUCACCCAUCAUCACUGAACCCACAAAGUGAUGAUGGUGACCAGCCAACAAGGCUCAGCGACAAAACACGAAGCAACCAAACACCGUCGGAAAGAAUCCGAACCGAAACCGCGUUCUUUCGGCGAAUUUCGCCGAAAAACGCACCGAAAUUGACCUACCGAUUUCCGCGAAAGCUAACGGACCAUGGACAAUCAGUCCAGCGGUCAUUACAAACUCCCACACGCUGCCCACAGUAGCCACGCAAAGCACAAAUGCAUAAAAGACCCUCUAAUUACAUAAAAUCUCAUCAUUUUAUGUAAUUUGAGCGAUCAAGCGGCUCAUUCACGCAAACCGAGGACUUUCGAAGUCCGCAGAGACACGUACUGACAGGUCUCGACGUACCGGAGUCCGUGCUCCCGAUCCGGAGCACAGCGGCUCGCUGUGGGAAGCGCGGGAGCAACCCGAAGGUUCAGCGAAUAGCGCACAGUCAGGGAAGAUCGCGCCGAACAGAACUAACCGGACACUUCUGAUCCACGGGAAGGUGAGCAUUGUGAUCAGCACUGACCAGCGGUCACCAUGCUCACCUCCGGAGGCAUCGGAACAGCCUCAGAUCGCCGGAAAAACAAGCACAAUCCCGAAACAGCAGCCAAAAAGGCUGAAACGGAGCGACAUCGCCAAAACAGUGGAACGGGGCCUUCCCGACAGAAACCAAGGUGAGCACGAUGAUCAGAAAUGAGUCACGAUCAUCGUGCUCCCUUCCGUAUUGAUCAGGGAGGCUCGAGAAGCUCAGAACACAAACCCAUCCUAAACUAAGCCCUAUUUCGGGCUUGGCCGGAGCAAGGUUGCUCCGGCCGGCUUCCGGCAGCACGGCGGCAUGCGCGGCGGCCAGGGACAGGUGCGGGGGAGGUGAGGAGUAUCGUGCUCACCUCGGUUGGCGGCUGGAAGCGGCGGCGGCGGCGGCGGAGCAAACCGAACCCGUACCGGCUUGAGCUUGGGCUCCAAGGGCAAUGGCGGCCACGGCGGCCGGCGGGAGGCUCAGGGUGACGGCGGCACCUCACCGGAGGUGGAGGAAAGGCGAAUCAGCCGGCGGGGAACGGCGGCGGCGCGCGGAGGCAGCGCUAGCCCCGGCUCAGCCCGCACUUGGUCAAGGCGGCCGCAGAGAGAGAGAGCGGUGGCCAGCGGCGACGGGUGCGGCGGCGAUGGCGCGCGGGGGCACGCCGGAGGCCAGCUGAGGGCGGCGGGACCGAGGGUGGGCGGCGGCGAUGCGCGGAGGCAGAGAUCACCCAGGCUCGGCCUGGGUGACUGCAGGUUGGCCGCAGGGAGCAAGGUGGCUCCGGCGGCGUCGGCGGUGUGCGCCGACGGCGGGGGCCGGCGAGGAUCGGCGCCGGAGGUAGCUCUCUGCCAUAGGGUGAAGGAUCCUCGGGGCUUCGCGCGUUUCCCUGUGUACUCAGGCCGAGAGGGUGGUGGUUCGGUUGAAAGAGAAAGAUGGAAGGUGGCCGGGUUCCAAUUUUCCGGCGACCGGGGCACCUGCCGGCGGCCGAGGUGCGCGCAUGGGCUAGGCAGGGACCAGUUAGGGUCGGCUGAGGGAGGGGCAGCUAGGGUUAGGGUUUCCAAGCCAAAAGAAAACUAACUUCAACCUAUAAAUGUAGUGUAAUUUUGCGAAAAUGUCCUCCAAGAAUCAACAAUUCUAUCCGAGUCCCUCACAGCGCGAGUAAAUCGCGCGGAUACCCCUCCACGACCGGUUUCACUGGAAACGGUACAUAAAAUAUCGCAACUUUUGCGAAAAUACCGUUUUGCCAACACCGACCUCUCCUCGAUCAACGUGCGAUCUCCGUAGAUCCGUCCGUCAGAUUUGCGAACGGAUUGCACCAGUGCGAUCAGCACCUCGGAGACAACAAAGUUACGAUUUUGGUUUACCUCGAUCGACCACGGAUUCGUGACAAAAUCCAACCUUUCAUUCCAACAGAAUGAAUAACACAAAAAUACAUAUAAAACAUGUAUUUUUGGAUUUUCUCGAAAUCUGUGCGUCAAACUCAAAAUCCGUCAGCGCCAUUAGUUCCAGAACAACUGAACCGAUCGAAAUGAGCUAUUGGACCGCUAGGAACGGAGUCCGAUACGAGCCUGAAGCCAACUUCACACCGUGGCUUCUCCGAAAAAUCGAGUUACUAUUCACUUUAAGUGAAACUUGGAAAUCGCGUAGAAUCUCCGUUUUAACUCGAUUUCUCCCGAAAUUUGACGAGUGCUUUUGUAAUUAAAUUACACACAAAAACAUCGUCAACCGAGAGUUUAGCUAUACUGUAAAAAUCUCAGUCCUUACAUCAACACUUGCAAUCGGCCUCCCGCGGCACUCGUUGUCCGGUUCGGCUCUAAUCCACAAUCGAUCACCGAAUGCCUGUCAAUCCACAACCUAGGGUCAUCAAAGGCCUUCCUCUAACCUUCAAUUUGAGGAAUAUUGGGUUAAUUUAGAUCAAAACCCCUAUUUGCCCAAAACCCCAUUUCUAGCCCUAGCUUCUCAUUUCUCCCAAAUAACCCAAGUAUUCAUAGAGAAAACAUGCUAGAAAUAUUCUAGAGAUGCCUAAAACAUCAUUCAUGAAAGAUUUAACCAAAAUCCAAACACUCACCAAAAUGCGAACGCUGAGUCGGAAGCACGCCGCUCAACCGGGCGCACGAAGACCCGAUCCGACGCUCCACACGCAUUCCCAAGCAUGCUCUCCGCCAAGCCUCCAAAUUUUGGGGGAGAGAUCUAGAGAGAGAAGGGAGAAAUCUAGAGAGAGAGGGAGGGAGUUUCUCUCCCCUACAUUAGUGUGCGUGUGUGUUGUGGGGCUGAGGGAGGAAGAAAGGGGUGUAGCCCCUUUUAAAGUCAAACCCCCCACCAACAAUUACAAGUAUGCCACUGCUAUUGUGCAUUUUUCGGGCUCGGGGUCCGGACCUUGGCCCUAGGGUCUGGACCCUGUAGGUCUAGAAAAAUUACAAAUUUCAGACUUAGCUAAAAUUUCCAGCCUUUUGCCAUUUCUUCUCUGUUUUCGCUCGUUUUCGCUCCGUGGGUCUCCGAUUCUUCUCAAAUCGUACCAAGACCCCCAAAACAUGUUUUUGAGCGCGUUCAAACCAUCUUUUCAUCCACGCCUUGCCAAACUUCGGCCAAGGUCUAAUCAUAGCUUUUCGAGUUUCGUUUUCACGCCCGACGUGUACCGAAAACACUCGAACGUUCCAGAACCUCACCAAAACUGCUCCAAUAGCUUUCCAAACUAACAUAUUGUUAUGUUGUUUGAUACCUUCCUUAUGCAAUCAUUGUAUGAAUACUGUUCCUGUUUGAAACCUCUUAUAUUGUACUAAUUGCGACGCCUAGGACGUACAGGAGAGACUUUGUCCGUUCGGCGGUCUGUCGGCGUGCCCGAACCUGACCAAAUAGGCGGGGCUCGGGGCGUGACACAUACACCAUAACUUCAUAAAUUUAGAAGUUCGGUAUGUUACACUUGAACUUUGGCUGCUUAGGGGAAAUAGAGAGUCACUGCUCACAUAUAACAAUCCAUGUGUUGACAUGAGCUUUACUAGCUAGCACGCUACGGUCUUGUAUUGAUCCUAGCCUUUUAUGAGCAUUUUUGAGAAUAAGCCAAUUCUUAUAAAAAAAGGCCUCACUUCUAUGCUCACAUAGGUGAAAUCCAUCAAGGAUGCUUCUGUAAUUCUGACACCCUGUUCAUAAGAGCCACAGAUUUCAUUUAAGAGCAAAAAUGCAACCCUCUUUUCAUUAUAGGAUGAAUGCACCCACACCAUAAGGAUAGGUAAAGAUGCGAUCAUAUAGAUCUAUAUAUUGUGCAUUCUUUACGAUCACCAUAUGAUUCAUUUUUUCUAUUGAAUCCAAUUGUCAUGAUUUCUGAUCAUCGGGUUGGGUAUCCUCAUACGUGGUUCAUGAUAUUAUGGGCUUCAACCCUAUCCCUCUCGAUGUGCUCCAUAUCCUUUCUCUUUCCAAGGGCUUGGUUAAUGGAUCUGCCAAAUUAUCAGUAGAUUUAAUAUAAUCUACACUGAUAAUACCAUUGUCCAUAUAUGAUCUCACAAUACUGUGUUUUCUUCUCACGGAUAUGGAUUUACCGUUAUAAUAACGGUUUCUUACUCUACCAAUAGCAGCAGUGCUACACAAUGUAUUAAUACAGAUGGAAUUGAUUUUUUCAGAAAUGGAAUCUCAGACAAUAAGUCUCUCAACCAACUAGCUUCCUCGCUAGCUGAAGCUAAGGCAAAAAGCUCAGCUUCCAUAGUUGAGUUAGUAAUGAUAGUUUUCUUUUUAGAUUUCCAACAUAUAGCAUUACCUGCUAAAGUAAAAAAUAUAACCAGUGAUAGAGAAAAAAUCACCUAAUAGGGUAUUCAGGUCAGCAUCACUGUAACCCUCAAUUAUAGCAAAAUACUUCCCAUAAAACAAGUCAUAAGUUUUGGUACAAACGAGAUAUCUUAUCACACGUUCCAUAGCAUGUCAAUGCUCUGUACCCGGCUUGUUUGUAAAUCUACAAAGUAUCCCUACUGCAUAUGCAAUAUCAGGUCUCGUACAAUCAGUCGCAAACCGCAAGCUCCCAAUGAUACUAGCAUAUUUCUUUUGAUUUAUAAUUUUAUUUUCACUUUUAAUAGGAAACAAGUGAACACUUAAAUCAAAAGGUGUAGUCUCAUGCUUGCAAUUAAGAAAGUUAUACUUUUUUAAAAUUUUCUCAACAUAAUGUGACUGAUCAAGAAAGAUACCGUCUAAUGUUUUGAUAAUUUUCAUACCCAAAAUAAAGUUAGUCUCACCAAGAUCCUUCAUUUCAAAAUAGUCACUUAGCAUAAUUUUUGUCUCAUUAAUAAUAUUUAAGUUAGAGCCAAAAAUUAGUAAAUCAUCCAUAUAAAGGCUAACAAUAACAUGCAACUUUUCAAAAGUUUUGUAAUAGAUGCACUUAUCACACUCAUUUAAUUUAAAGUCAUUCUCAAUCAUGCAAAAAUCAAAUUUUUCAUGCCACUGUCUGGGUGUCUGCCUUAAGCCAUAAAGGGAUUUAUUUAGCUUGCAUACUUUGUUUUCUUGCCUAGGCUCAAUGAAUCCCUAAGGUUAGUCCAUAUAAAUUUCUUCAUUUAGAUCACUAUUCAGAAAGGCAAUUUUUACAUACAUCUAAUAAAUUUGUAAGUCAUGAAUUGCAGCAAUAGCAAUCAGAGCUCUGAUGGAUGUUACUUUAGUAACCGGAGAAAAGGUAUCAAAGAAGUCUAGAUUUUCUUUUUGUUUAUAGCUUUUUGUGACAGGUCUAGCUUUAUACUUGCUUACACUCCCAUUCGAUUUUAAUUUCUUUCUGAGGACCCAUUUAUAGCCAAUUACUGUAUAGCAUGGAGGUAAAUUCACUAAUUUUCAUGUUUUAUUAGAAAUUAGGGAUUCCAUCUCAUCAGAUACAAUCUCUUUCCAAAAAAUUACAUCAUUUGAAGAUAAAACUUUUUGUAAAGAAAGUGAAAUUUCUUCAAUAUUCAGAACAACAUAAUCAGGGCCAAAAUAAUUUUCUAUUUUGUUUCAUUUGCUUCUUCUAGGUUCAAAAACAUAUUGUUCUUGAUUUUGUAAAAAAGAGUUUGAAGAACUCGAUUUAUUUGAAACACUUUUAAAAUCUUGACACCCACUAUUUUUUGAUUUAUAAGAAAACUUUUCUUCAUGAAUCACAUUAUUUUCAAUGUCUAAAAAUUUAUAGGCUGUACUAUUGAAAGUAUAUCCAAGAAAUGCACAAGUGGCAGCUCUAACACCUAAUUUAGGUCUUUAGGAUCUGAUUGCCUCACAUAUGCUAAACAACCCCACACUUUAAGAUGUCCUAAAUUUGGUUUAUACUAUUUUCACAAUUUAAAAGGUGUCACCUUAGACUUCUUAUGUGGCACACGAUUCAAGACAUAACAUGCAUUUAAAAUGGCUUCACCCCAAAGGUUUUAAGGGUGCACCAGUGUUAACUAUCAUAGCAUUUGUUAGCUCAAUACGUGUUCUAUUUUUUUUCUCUCAGCCACUCUAUUAGAGGCAGGCGAAUAUGAAGCAGUAGUCUCAUGGAUAAUUCCUAAAGACUGAACAAAAGAGUUAAAUCCCGUAUAUUCAUUCUUACGACCUCGAUCAUUUCUAAUUCUCUUAAUCUUUUUACCGAAUUUGUUUUCUACUUUAUGGAGGAAAUCUUUAAAUUUGUCAAAAGCAUUACUUUUAUUUUUUAAUAAAUAAACAUAAGUAUAUUUAGAAAAGUCAUCAAUAAAAGUGAUAAAUAUCUAUUUCCUCCACAAGUUAGAGUACCAUCAAAUUCACAAAUAUCACUGUGAAUUAGCUCAAGUAAUUCGGUACUUCUUUCAAUACUCUUAUGAGGUUGUUUAGUGAUUUUUGACUUACUACAUGUUUCACAUUUGUCAAAAUUACUAUUCAGUCUGAAAAUUAAUCCUAAACUACUCAUCAAGCUAACAUAUCUGCUAUUAAUAUGAUACAAACGAGCAUACCAAAAAUUCACAAAAGAAAGCAUAUAAGCAGAAGUAGACGAUACUUUAUUCUUAAUAUUUGGUUUAAACAUUUCGUCGCAUGCAUAACCUUUACCUACAAACUUUUCAUUCUUGGAAAUCAUAUACUGGAUCAGACUCGAUGAUCUGUUUGAAGCCAGCUUUAUUAAGAAGGAAACUUGACAUCAAGUUCUUCCUAAUUGAGGGUGUAUAGAAUACAUCUUUCAAGAUAAGCACCAUUCCAGAAGAAAAUUUUAACUCGACCUCACCACUCCUUAAAACUUUAGAAGUAUGUGAAUCACCAAGAGUAAUACUUCUUGGUUGUUUAUAGGGAGUAUAUAUUUUAAACCAAGUUUCAUCAUAACAGACAUACCUAUUGGCAUUAGAGUCUGCCCACCAUCCUUCAGCACUCUUCACCAAGUAUAUGUCUGUUAUCAUUAUCACAAGUGGCUCCUUAGUAACAUUAGCUUGAAGUAAAGCUUUAUGUUUCCGGAAUUUGCAAUUCGAGCAAUAUGUCCAUUUUUGCCACAGAUAUAGUAAACUAUAUUUUUCAUUUGAGAAGGAGGUUCUUGGUCUUUUUUUUUUUAAUUGAGAUCUACCACUAUUCUUUCCAAUUAUCUUCUUAGGCUUCAAAUAUGUAUUUAUUGAAUGAUUAUUAUUAGGUAAAGAAUUAAAAGAUGCUAAGUUACCUUAGUGGCGCUAGCAUCAUUCUCUUUUGCUUCAAGUGCAUCUUAGCCUCUUGCCUUCUCUUCCACGCGAAUGCAUGCAAUUAAUGUCUCGAAAGACAUCUCCUUUUGCUUGUGCUGAAGGGUCUUUUGGAAUUCCCUCCAUGAUAGUGGUAGCUUGACGAUGAUUCCCAAUACGAUCAAGUUUUCUCCAAAUUUGACUCCUUCGGAUUGAACUUCAUGGGUGAUCAUCUAAAAGUCUCGAACUUGCUCCACCACAGACUUUCCUUUGACUAUCUAGUAGUGAAAGAAGUAGCUAGCGACAUACUUUUUUGCACUAGCUUGCUCUGUAUCAUACUUAAGCUGCAAAUGCCUUCCAAAUCUUUUUUGCAGAGGAGUAAGUAUUUUCAUAAUAAUCAUAAAAUUGAUCUGAAAGGCAGUUGAGGAGAUAAUACCGACAGUUAUACUCAUCCUUCUCGUAUUUUUCAAUGUUUUCAUAGUGUUUAAGAAGUUUUGUCUUCGUUCAUAUCGUUAGGAUUAGUUUUCUUUGAGUUCUUCUUCGUGAGGACGUAUGCAACUUUAAGUAAAUUGAGGUAGAAUAACACUUUUUCUUUUCCCACCUCUGAUCUAUUGAAGUGGAAGGGCUUGUUGAGAUCUCCAUCAGUAUCGUUGAACUUUUCGCAUGUAGCCUCCAUUUUUUAAUAUCCUUAAAUUUGUUGAUGUAUAUAUUCAAAAAAUAGAGGUUAGCUACAAAAUAAUAUAAAAAAGUGUCGACAAGUCGAUCAAGCCGAGAUAUGAAAAUCUUGCUCUCUUUAAGGAGAUUCAACUCCUUUGCGGUUGGCAAAACCUUUGAACCGAUGAAGCAGAAUACUGACUUAUCCCCUUCAAGAUACAACGGCUCGACCCUCGUCGUGUGGCUUCACCAAUUCUGUACAAAUAGAUGAGCCCAAAUCUCCACCAAAAGAAAUACCUUUCUUUGACCUUCUCUCUGUCACAAGUAUAAUAAAAAUAUAUAUUUUUUUUAUUUUUCUUUUUGUUGUCUUUGUUGAGUGUGUGUAGAAAUAAAUAAAGAAGCCCUCUAUAUAUAGGCCUACAAAUCUAUAGGUUACGAGAGUAUGAAAAUCAUAUGUUACACAACAUUUGGUAGAGCUCAUAAGUUGUAGGAAUAAAGAGAAAAGUUAAUGGCAUAGGAGUUUACAAAAAUAAAUGAACUUGUGUUCACCUCAUUUGAAGUAGGUUCAAAUAUAAGUUCAUAAUGAAUGCAAACUAAAUGAAAUGGUAAUUUCACUUGCGCAACUAUAAAUAUUAAUCAGAGUAUAGAUUAUCAAAAUUAAAAAUUCAUAUUUAAUAAUAAAAAUGUUACAACAUAGUAAAUACACAAAAUAACAAAUGUUUAAAAAUUUUAAAAUUUUUAGGACCUAAUUUGAUUCAUGAACAUUUUAUUCAUCAUAUCCUUUUUAAUUUACUCAAGAAGCUUGUAGUGUUCGGCAGAUGAGAAAUAUAAUAAAAUGUUUAGAAUGAAGUACUACAUUCAAAAUUUUAGUUAUUUUUAAGAUAAGAUAAAUGAAAUCGUAGGGGAAUACACUGUGGUGCCAAAUUAUGGAACUUAAGAUUCAAAAUAUCAAACUUUUUAGAUUCUAAUAACAUGGAAAAAAUUUCAUACUGAAUAAGUUAUUCAAUUAGGUCAUAUUUAGAUGUAAGAACAUCUUGUUAGAUAUAACUCUUUAAUUUACUUAAAAGGCUUGUAACAUUUGGUAAACAAAGAAUAUCAUCAAAUAUCUAAAAACAAAUAUCAAAUUAAUCAAUUAAGUUGUUAUGAUUUAUUUAUUUAUUUAUUUAUUGAAUGAGAUCUCAUUCAUGAAGAUGCUCUCUUGUUAGAUAAUGGAUGGCAAAAUCUUUUUAAGAAGCAAGAGUCAAACAACUAAACUUUAGUUACACCUAAAAGAAAAGAACAAAAAAAACAAAAACUUCUAGAAAAUGAGUUAUCCAAUUACCAUACAGGCAAUGUUACUUACAUAGUCAAAAAGUAAGUAUAAAUUUUACAUCCUACUUAUAAAUAUAUUAAUAAUUUCUGACGGAUCUUAUCUAAUUUCUUUCUUUUUAAUAUUCAUAACACAAAAGAAUUUCUUAAUCUUUAGAUGGAUAGUGUAAAUUUAUACCUAAUAUUAAAUGCACGAAAGUGUAAGAUAUUUUUGUUUUAGACUCCGGACUUCCGAGCUGUAGCGAAUUUAUCAAAUUUUGUUUCCAUGAGUAGAGUUGUGACUGGGUAGGAAUUGGGACUGAUUUUACAAAAUCCGAACCCGACCAAAAAUCCGAAAUCCAAAUCCAAGCAUGAAAACCCAAACCCGAAAUAAUUAUUCCUCUUUACUAUAUAUCAAAACGUAUUAUAUUAAAUCUACAUUUUUAAAAUAGAAAACUUCAAAUAUUACCUCUGUGGUUUCGUACUUUUAUUUUAAUGCUCUGUAAUUUAAAGUGUAUUAAUUUAGUACCCCAUGGUUUCAUUUUUCUCUUUUUAUUAUUCUCUUUAUUAAUUUUUUUUGUUAAAUCGGUAAUAAAGUUAAAACUAAAAUAUACUAAAAUAAAUAUUUAAACUUAGGUGGGACUAAAGUGAAUAUUCGAACAACUUAGGUGGGAUAACUAAAAUUUUUUAUAUAUAAUUUAACGAAAUAUUAAAAAAAAAAGCUAAUAAAAAGAAACAAAUGAAACCACGUAAUGCUAAAUUAAUAUAUUUUAAAUUCCAUGAUAUUAAAGUAAUAAAUAUAGGUCUUAUUCGGAUUUGUUUUCGGAUAUCCAUAACAUUGAUAUCCCUACCCAUCAGCCAGCCCUUCGCUAAAAUCUCUACCCCAAAAGCCCGCCCGGCCGCCUGCCUGCCUGUCUGCCUGUAUUGUGUCAUUUGUCAGUCCUCCCAUGCGAUGGACUCCCAUCUCAACCCCGCGCUUCGCAUCCGCCGCCGCCGCCUUCAUUUCCCGCCGCAGCCACACCGACCUGACUGCCUCUGAACCCAACAACCACCACGUCUCCGCUUUCCUCGCCGCCCUCGCCGACUUCUCCUCCUCCUCCCGCCGCAGACCCCCCCGCCCCUCGUCCUCCUCCUCCCCCUCAACUCCCAACAGCAGCAGCAGCAACUCGUCCGUCCGCUCCUUGACCGUCCUCCUCGGGCGCCUCCUCCUGCGCUCCCCGGCCCUCCUCGACUCCGCCUACGCCCUCCUCCUCUCCAUGUCCGCCCGGCCCGACCCCGCCGCCCGCCCCGACGCCGUCGCCUUCUCCGCCCUCGUCGCCGCCCUCUGCCGCUUCGGCCGCCUCCACGAGGCCUGGGGCGUCCUCGACCUCAUGCUCGACCUCCGCCUUCGCCCCUCCCUCCCCGCCUACACCUCCCUCCUCCGCCUCUACUGCUCCCGCCGCCAGCUCCCCCAAGCCCAGGCCCUCCUCUCCACCCUCCCAUCCCUCGGCUACCGCCUCGACGUCGUCGCCCACACCGUCUUCCUCGACGGCCUCUGCGCCGCCGGCCGCUUCCGCGACGUCGAGAAGCUUCUCGCGCAGAGCCGCGCCGACGGGCUGCGCCCGACGAUCGAGACGCUCAACAUCCUCUUCGACUGCCUCUGCCGCGAGUCCAAGGUUUCGGAGGCCAAGCGCUUGCUGGAGGGCAGCGACGCGUUGGGCUGGGUCGUCGAUUCUUUCUUCUAUAACACUCUGAUGAGCCGGCUGUUCGACGUCGGCGAGCUCGACGCCGUGUUAGAGCUCUUGGCCUCUAUGUUCAAGAAGGGGAUCCCCCCGGACGCGUGCACCUUCACCGUCGUGAUCCGAACCCUUUGCAAAUCCGGCAAGCUCGCCGAAGCUAGAAAUGUCGUCGAACGCGGUGGUAGUUUCGUCGCCUCCGACGUCGUGAUGUUUAACACCCUGCUUCACGGGUUCUACGCGGCCGGUAAUGUCGAGGAAGUACGACUCGUUUACGAGGAAAUGCUUGGGAAGAGCGUUGUUCCUAACAAUUUCACGUAUUGCAUCGUGAUGGACAGUUUCUGUAGACGGGGAAAGUUUCUUGAGGCUACAAGCUUCCUUCUUGGAUCUUCGGCGGAAGAUGGGUUUUCGCUCGAUCUGGUCGCUCGUCUAAACAGUUGGUUCGUCAAGUAUGGGAAGCUGAGGGAGAUCUUAAACCUGCUCGAUGAAAUGUCCCGGCGAGGUUUCGCUGCAGAUGGCUUCAUACUCACUUCGCUGAUCACGGCUUUUUGCAGGGAGGGGUAUUGCGGAAGCUUGGAUUUCUAUAAAGUGUGCCUUAUACUUGAUUCGAUGCUCGGAGUUAGAUGAUUAUUCGUAGGGUGGAAUGGUUAAGGAUUACAAAUUGGGAAUUGAUCCAAGAUGCUAUUUCUUCAGACGACAUUGGUUAGGAAGAUCUCAAUGGGAUAGUUCAUGGCAAUCUGUAAGUUAUUAAACUUUCCGACAGAUUGUAUACACUUGAUUGUUCUUGCUUGGUUGAGGACAAUGGUUUGAUUGCAGCUUCUCAUUGCUUGAGAAAGAUGAGAGGCAAACCAUGAAGUAUUUAGCUUCACCAGCUGGACGAGUAAGGAUUUUAUUUUUCUUCUGAAGAAAGGACGAUUUGCGCUGAGAAUGCUGGGAUCCAUUGAUUUUUCAAUAGUGCGGGAGGCUUUUACAGUAAACGGAGCCAAGCGCAUGUUUAUUCAAUGAGAUGGUUUGUCCUGUUCUUCGUCCAUGCUGAUGCUCGAUACUUUGAUCGAAGCACUUAUUUUUUC